ACUUACCUGGAUGGGGUCAAUGGUUGGUCAAGAUGGACCAUGGCCUAGGUUAGUGACUUUCAUUGCACUGAGGAGGGGUGCUAGCCUAAGGUCGGCCCAAGUGGUCGAGCCUACAUCAUAAUUUGUGCCAGUGGGGGCUUGCGUUCGCGCAGCCCCUGCCCAAUAUCGUAGUCCAAAUGUUUUGUUCUUGGUAAAGGUUUAUGUAUGCCUUAUACGCUUAUUUAAAUAGGUAUGUUUUAAUCCUCAUACUACUAUACAUGCCAAUUGAGCAUGUUUCUACACCAUCAUUGUAACAAGAAGAAUUUGUGGAUAGUAUGAGAAUUUUAAUAAAAUUUUAAAAAGUACUAAUUUGUUAAAAAGGGAUAUAAUUUAGAAGUUUAAAAAUGUUAUAAAUACAUAGUCCACUGGAGUUUGAUGCUGAUAACAAUUUUUUUUGAUUGUUUGUGUUAAUUAUUAAAUAAAACAAAAAUAUUUAAAUACAAAGAUUUUAUCAAUUUAUUUUUUAUUUUUUAAUAUUUAUUGAAUUACAUAAAUAGUAUUUUAUAAAUCGUUUUAUUCUAACAUAAUGAGAAUGUUUUAUGAGUUGCCUAUUAUAAAUGGCCACUAUUUUGACCAUAAGGAUAGUAACCUCCCUCUUUCAUAAUCAAUGAUAACACGAUACGCAUGCCAAUUUAUCAUUUUCUCUGUAAUAUUUAGUUAUUUUACAUAGGUUUAUUGUCUCAUUUUCUUUGUAAUAUUUAGUUAUUUUACAUAGGUUUAUUGUCGUUAUAACCAACGAAGUUUUUAAAAAAAAUUAAAAGAUAAUUGAAUUGAUUUCUGUGCAUUUUCUUAUGACAUGUUUAAUAAAAGGAAGAAAACCUUUUAUUAAUUUGUUACCAUGUAUAACCUAAUGAAAUAUGAGGUGACAUGCAUAUUUUAUGUCAAACCACAUAAAUAACACAUGUGAGAUGAUAUGUCAUUGAACACUUGAAGAACUAUAUACCACCACCAUCAUCGUCCAUAUAUUCCAAGUCACCACCACCAUCCACCGUCCAACUCCAGUAAAUUUUCGUAACCUUUGUCUCCUUUCUUCCGACAACCGCCCUAUUAGUAUUUUUUUGGCAACCUUGUCCCACAUCCAUUUUUUCUUUCUUGAAUAAACCCCAAUUCAGAGCUAUUAUGAAAUAAUGAAAGCAUCACCUUAAUCAUUUUCCCAACAACUACUUUAUCAGUAAAUUCCAUCAACCUUUCACACAUCCAAUUUUCUUUCCUGAACAAACCAAUUUUAGAGCAAUUGUGGUAGGAUUAUUACAAUACUCAAAACUCGUCAACAUAAUAGUUACAUUACUAAUACAUAAGUUUAACAAAAUCAAUUUAGAGCAAUUGUAAUUUAACAUAUAUGUAACUUAUCAAGGUUAAUAUAAUAAAUUCAUAGCAAUUGUGAUCGGAUUCUUUCAUUUGAUUUCAACAUCAAUAAAUACCCAUGAACACUUCAUGAACAAUAUUUUGACACUAAAAUAACAUACCACUAAAACUCAUUCACCAGUAGGUAGGAGGAUUCUUUCAUUUACUCUCUUGGGACCAUAAUCCAAUCAAUUUGAUUGACUUAAUUCAGACAAUCAUACUCAAAUUAAGACAAUCACAUUACUAAUAGAUGUACCAGCUUAACAUAAUCAUUUCAAAUCAAAUACAUUACUAAUACAUAUCAAGCUUGAAUUAAUGGCGUUAUUAACAUAUGAUCUUUUAGUCCACACAUAACUUAUACAAAUCCAAUAUAGAAUAAUCAAAAUCAAGAUAACUUAUCAAAAUCCAAUCACAUUAGCAAAUUUCUAUAUAACUUGCUCUUUUAGUCCACAUAAACUUAUCAAGUUAAAUAAAAUCCAACCAUUAGUAAUAGCAAAAUGUAAGCAAUAACAAAAAACUAUUUUUUGAAAUAAGCCCAAAUGUCAUUGUCUCAUUCUUGAUGGAGCCUUAACAUCUCCAAAGGGAGAAAAAACUUCAAUCGGAUGUUUGCAACCACGAUAUCUCCCCGGUAAAAAACCUAGUCAUCAUAAUUUGUGGAGGAAUUGAUUUGAUUUGGUUGACCAACACAAACUCUCGAUGUGGUACACAACCACACUUCAGGAAUAAGGUUUACAGGACAAGUUAGACAUUGGUGAAAACGGGAGAUGUUGUUUGCUUGGUAGUAAAUUUCUUUGAAGCCUACUUCAUUGCCCGAUAUAUCAACUCUAUUGCCAAUUGGCUUCUCACGUAUGAUAUUUUUAGACAAAUUAGGGUUUGAGAAAGUGAUUGAUUAAGGUUCGUGCAAGGAAAGACAAAGUGAUCGGUUAGGAUUCUAGUUCAAGCUCUUAUGUGUAAUAGAAGACGAGAAUACGAAGCAUACACCUAAGCAAAACCUUUGACUUUCUCUAAGUCAGAUUACAUAUAUUCAAAGAAACCGAUUUACGCCUUCACUUUCAUAGGGUGAUCUAAAUGGCAAAAUUGCAUUGAGUUUAUACCCUUAUAAUGCACAAAAAUUAGUUCAUGAACAUUUUAGUUUUUUUGCAAAACUUCGUUUGGUUAUAAUAAGAGUAACCUUUUUAUGUUGUAUAAUCAAAAAAUUUCAAACACUAAAAAUCAAUUUAUCACUUAUUGUAUACCGGUAUCAUAUAAGCUAAUUGAAUCAUUUUAUAUUUUCAUUAACUCAAUUUUACUAUCGUGCAUAACUUAAUAAACAUUUUUAUAAAGAAUAAAACAUAAUUAUAAACGAUAUGUCAUGUCAAAUUAUUUGAAAAAACCCGAACACGACCCACAUAAUAAAUGGGUUGACGGAAAAUUCAAUCCAAACCUGUUUAUAUUCUAGUUGGAUUCAUGUCAUGCUUAGUCCAUAAUUGAUACCCCCUAAAUAUAAUCAAAGCGUGAUUAGUUAUUUAGUAUAAUAUAAUUAUACUAUAAACUUUUGUACUAAAUCCAAAAACCCACCCGACUCUAAAGGGUAGUAUCCACACCCGGAUCCGAUCGUCCUCCCAAAGGAGGAACCUGCUGUAACUAAAACCCUAGCAAAACCUCAACUCCCUCCAUUACAUACACACUAAAACAUGCACAGAACUGUUAGACGAGCUGUUAUAAUCGGAAAUGGUUUCGCCGGAGCUGAGAAUCAGUGUGUUGGAUUGGUUCGAGCUUUGGGUCUAUCUCAUCGGCUUUCUUUGUAUGUAAGCGUUUAUCAUUCGUAUGCUUCAUUACUUCUGUUUUGAGCCCCCAAAAAACGGAAAAAAUUAUCAAUUUCUACUUCUCAUGUUAAGACAAGCUUCUGCAUCAUCGAGAUCAUUACAUUUGUCAAGCCAUUUUUGUCGAUAUGCAUUCGCAUCAAAUGAGUUUGAACAUGUUAAACAUCGAAUUGGCACAUUCCAUAACCUAUUUCUCGUUGUUAUUACAAGAAAUUGUUAACACUUUGUACGCCGAUUUGUUCCCAUUGUUUGAACAGCGUGUUCAUAGGCCAAAAAAUGGGAUCAAUAAGUGGCUCAAUUUCCUCCCUGUUUCUACCCACAAAAGAUUAGAUCGAUUGAAAAGCCAAAUCUUUAAUCCACAGUCAACUGUUUCUAGUCAUGGGAAGAAAUCAGUUGCAAGAACAGGUAGCACACUCUAGAUUUUGUUAUAUGUCUAUAAAUUACAAUAAAUAACAGAUUCAUCAAAUGGGAAAUCAUUUUCUUUCAUAUCAAUAAGCUUCUAUAGAUGAUAUUUUAGGGAACCAAUGUCUUAUGAUCCUAAUGUUUAUAGAUCAAUCAGAAAUCUUGGAAGCUGAUGCUGACCUAAUUGCAACCAAUGCUAUAGAGACUUUUGAAAAGUAUUCUUUCUUUCUUUCUUUCUUCUUUGAGAUCAUAUCAAAAUAUAUCAUCAUUAUUAAAUUUAAAACCAUGUUUUUAACAUCAAAUUUGUUUCUUUUUUUGAUAGAAAUGGUCCAUUGUUGGUUGUUGCAUCUGGGCGUGAUACAAUCUCUGUUGCAACUUCAAUUAAACGGUUAGCUCCAGACCAUGUUUUCACUAUACAGGUUUGAUUGUGCAUCUUUUAUUUGUAAAUUGUAAAGCAAAUUACUUUUUUUUACAAUUUUGGUCCAUAAUUUAGAAUCUUGUAACGUUUUUGGUCCCUAUUCCAAACAAAACGUAUAGUUGGUUAUGCAAUUUUGCUCCCCACUUAAACAGGGACAAAAUAUGUUACAAAAACCUCAAAUAAGGAUCAAAAUUGCAAGAGAGAAAAUCUUUUGGGACCAAAAUUGAAAAAUACCACAUCUAUGAUUCUAUUAUUGUUAUAGAUACAACACCCAAGAUCAAAUCUAAAUAGAUUUGAUUUGAUAAUUACACCUCAUCAUGAUUAUUAUCCACUCACUCCUGAAGGAAAGAAACACAUUCCAUGGUUUCUUCAUGGAUUAUUUACUCCCAAUCAAGGAAAAAAUGUGGUGAGUAACAUUUUUUCUUGAAAUCCUCAUCCUCACACAUAAUAAAUAAAUAAUAAAACUUAAAUUUUAAUUCCAAAUAUUAUAUUCAUAUGCAAAUGCAAUCCUAGAUGCUAACACUUGGAGCCCUUCAUCAAGUUGAUUCAGCUGCAUUACAACAUGCAGCCUCAACCUGGCAUGAUGAGCUGGCAUUAUUGUCCAGACCCUUGCUUGUAGUCAACAUUGGAGGACCUAUUCGUGAGUUUUAAUCUUUUUAUUUUUUGUAAAAAAAAUAAAAAGAUUAUUUAAUUGUUUUGUUACAGGUCAUUGCAGAUAUGGUGGUGAUCUUGCUAGAGAGUUAACAACAUCAUUAAUGAAUGUUCUUCCAAGUUGUGGGAGUGUUAGAAUUUCAUUUUCUAGAAGAACCCCACACCAGGUAUAUUUUUAUGUAUAUAUAUUUUUUAAUCGUAUAAUGUAUACUAAUUUUUUAUUUUUUUAUAUAUGUAUGAAUAAUUUUAUUUUACCAAAUUACAGGUGUCUGAGAUGUUGGUAAAGGAAUUUUGUAACCAUCCUAAGGUUUAUAUCUGGGAUGGAAAAGGUGGGAGUGGGACAAGGACUUGCUCUUGAAUCUUGAUAUUUUGUUUUGUGAAAAAGACGUGAAUGCCCUUUUCAUAUGUUUUGUUGUGUUUGUGUAGAUCCAAAUCCACAUAUGGGACAUUUAGCUUUGGCUGAUGCUUUUCUCAUCACUGCUGAUUCAGUCAGCAUGAUAAGUGAGGCUUGCACUACCGGGUAAGUCUCUUAAUUAAGGCAGAAGGGUAAAACGGUCAUUUACUCUCAUUCAGUCCAAAAAUGUCAAUUUACUUGUAGACAUUAUGGAAAACUGGUAAUAUACUUCUAAACAAUAUCACUUGUAGACAGAAGGGUAAAAUGGUCAUUUGCUCAUCCAGUACAAAAAUGUAAUUUUUUUUAUCCAGAAUCAGUUGUAGACAGAUGGGAAAACUGGUUAUACACUUUUAAGCAAUCACUUGUAGACAUAAGGGUAAAAUGGUCAUUUACUCAUGCAACAUCACUUGUAGACAUAAGGGUAAAAUGGUAAUUUACUCAUGCAGCAUCACUUGCGGGAAGAAGGGUAAAAUGGUCAUUUACUCUCACUCAGUACAAAAAUGUAAUUUUUUUUAUCCAGCAUUACUUGUAGACAGAAGGGUAAAAUGGUCAUUUACUCUCAUUCAGUCCAAAAAUGAUUUUUUUUUUAAUCCGUCAUCACUUGUAGACAUAAGGGAAAACUGGUAAUACAAUUACACUCCUAAGCAAUAACACUUGUAGACAGAAGGGUAAAAUGGUAAUUUACUCAUUUUUCUUCUUUUACAUUCCAGGAAGCCUGUUUAUGUAAUUGGAGCCGAGAGGUGUACAUGGAAGUUUGCAUAUUUUCAUAAAUGUCUGCAAGAAAGAGGGAUGCUGAGACCAUUCACUGGUAAAGAGAACGUAAGUUGAAACACAAUAUGAUCACUUAAAUAGCAAAGGGCAAAAAGACAUCUAUACCCUCAAUCAAAUUGUAUUUUAUUUUCAUGGUGUUACUAUUUACAGAUAACUGAAACAUGGAUCUAUCCUCCAUUAAGAGACACAUCAGAAGCAGCUGAGCAUGUGAUAAAAGCACUUGCUGAACGUGGCUGGAAAUUGCAUCCAUAAUGGAGCCAAAAUUUUAUAUAUUUUUAUCGAUUACAUGUUAUCAAAUUAUGUAUAGCAUAAAUCAUCAAUAACAAUUAUAAAGGCUUACAUUAUUUGUUCUCUUGAUUCAAGUUAAUAAUAUAUGUUAACUAAUUUGAUUAGAAUACUUUGAAACUUCCUUUGGAGUGCUUAAUUCUAAGUUGAUUAAACACUAAACCAUUUUGGUUUAUGGUUUUACUCGAAAGGAUAAUAAAUUCAUUAACAUAUUGUAUCAAACUCUUAUUGAAAUUCAUCAAUCAUGAUUGAGCUAAAGAACUCGUUGAAUCACAAUGAGUUAAUGCUUGUCACCAUAUGAUUACUGCUCUUUGUCAAACAAAAAAAAAAAAAAAAUAAUAUAUAUUCGAUAAGAAGUUAAAAUUACAUUACUGUCAAUAUUUCACAUGUAAAAAUAUAUUUCUUUGUUUUGUGUUUGAUUUGUUAUGUUUUCUGGCUUAUAACGAUAAUCAUAAAAGAAAAUUUAUGUUUGUUAGAGAUGAACAACUUUUUUAAGUUUUUUUAAAGGAACCAAUAUGUGAAAUAUUUAAAAAAAUUGUCAAUGCAUUUCGAUUGAUGUUUUGAAUUCUCAUUGAAUCCCGUUAUUAUGGUAAGGAUAUAAAUAGUUGAUAGACUGAUUUAUAAAAUAUUUAAUUAACUUUUGUGGGUUGAGAUCCGGUUUGAUUCGAUAUCCUCUAUAUACUUCCAUUUAUCAUAUUAUGAUAUAUAUCCAUCUAUAUAUACAUGUGAUGAGGAGCAGAUGAAAAUAUAUGUAAUACAUGCAUACAAUUCAUGUGUAAUGUUAGAGAGUAUUCUUGAGAUCAACUGAAAAACUUAUCAUGUUCUUCAGAUUUGAAAAUCACAACGAACACAUGUUCUUCGGAUUUGGAAAUCACAAUGAACACAAAUAUGUAAUCAAUCUUUUCUUGUUUAAGUUUUCUUUUAUCAGAUUCGAAAACCAAUAUCUAAAGUUCAUGCUUCUGCAAUUUAUGUUUUGGUUAUUAUAAUAACCAACACCAAGUAGAAAGAUCCAAAUCACACAUCGAGCUUCCACCAUGGGUUCAUGCUUUUGUGGUCGUUGUUGGUUUAGUCAUCAUGCUAAGUGAGGCUUGCACUACUAGGUAAGUUUAUUGAGCCUCUUCAAUAUUCGGACAUCAUAUAUUCAAUAUAUAACAGUUUCUAUACAAACAAUCAUUCCUUAUUCAACAUCAUUUGUAGACAUAAUAUUAAAAUGGUCAUUAACUAUCAUCUAAGAAAAAUUUGUAACCUUUAUUUUGCAUCACUUUGGCCUGUUUGGGGUUGUUUCCUUCCUUUUUCCUGUAAGGAUAAAGUAGCUUUAGGGGAAAUGACGUAUGUUGAGAUAAAGUGUCCUAUAUGCAAGAUUUGUUUUGUUUGUCUAGAUAAAGUGUCAUGUACAUAAGGUUUCUUUAUUUUAAGAACUAAACAGAGUAUAUGAAUAAAUCUAAAUAAACAUUUACCAUUACAUUCCAAUAAAAACGAAAUUUCACAAUAUUCAUCAAUUUUUACACGAGAAGUUAAGAGAAGAAAAAGAAAAACUAGGUAAAGGGUUUGUAUCUUAAUACAUUAAGCAUAUUUUUUCGCUUAACCCAUUAAGUUAUUAUAUCCAUAUUAAGUAAAAAUAAACAACCAUAUAUAAUUGUUUUGUAUUAACCCAUUAAGUUCAUUAAUUAAAAAAAAGAAACAAAUUGUUAUUCUCAUUUUGGUCCAAAAAGAAACUCAGUAUUUUUAUUCAACAUCACUUGUAAAUAGAAUGAUAAAUGGUAAUUUACUCUAUUGUAUACAAUAUACAUCAAUGUGAAAUUGUCAUUUACUUUUAUUAUUAUUAUUUUUUUACUCUUUUGUCUUCUUGGAAGCUAAUUUAUGCAAUUGGAGCAUAGAGGUCUACACGGAAGUCGACAUACUUAUAUAGAUGUAUUCAAGAAAGAGGGAUGGUGUGAUCAUUCUCUGGCAAAGAGAAUGUAAGCUUGCAACUAUUUAUGCAUAAAGAAACACAAUAUGAUAACUUAAGACAAACAUAUCACUUCAAUAGCAAACUCAAAAGACAUAAGUAUCCUCCAUAAAUUGUAUAUAAUUUUCCAAUUAUGUUUGACAGCGUUAAUGUUUACAUCUAAGUGAAACAUGGAUGUAUCCUCUGUUACGGGACAUAGUUUUAUGGAAAUUAAAAAUUAUGACUUAUAAGAAACAACUUCUAGUUUACACACAAUAAAAACCAUUUAUACCCGUACUAAACCUACUAAGUUAAUCCAAACAUUUUUUUAGUUUAUGAUUUAUUAACCGAAUUUUUUUUAAUCCAAAUGAGGCAAUCCAAACACUUUUUAACUUAUAGUAUUUUGUAACUAUAAAGCAAAUAAUCACUUUUAUCAAAAAGUGCGUAUUAAGUUAAAUAAGCAAUCUCAAACACCACCUUACCCUUGCACUUUAUUUGUCUUAUUUAAAUUUGUUGAAUUACUUGUGCUUUUUUAUAAAACUCAAAUGGUAAGUGUAUUACAAUGUGUAUGUGAGCCUUUAUAAUUUUUGUGAUGAAAAAUGGUUGUAAAAAAAACUACUUAUUCACACAAUUUUUGAAAACUAGGCUAAAGUCUUAAUUUUCAUAUCGUGUUAACUAAAUAUACACUCAUCAAAGAUCAAAGAGUCUAUGCUACAAGUUCAUGUCUCGUUCCAUACUCAUCUCAUAGUACUUCAAUGUCUCGAUCCAUACUCAUCUCAUAGUAGUUCAUUGUUUCCUUUUGUAUGGUUCCAAUGAUGUGUUGAAAUUAGACUAUGUUCAUGCUUAUCACAAGACGAUUACUGACCUCUCCAAAUGAAAAAAAAAAUAGAAAAAAGAUUAUUGUUUCAAGAAAAACUUAAAAUUAUAGUCCCUAACUAAGAUACACACAAUCUAUCUUUAUUUUGGCUUAUAUUACAUUUUAUAAAGAAACCAUUGUCACGCUAAUCAAAGAUAAUAAACUUCUUAUUGAAUGAAAAAAAUAUAAAGUAUCAUGGUUUGAAGUAUUAAUGCAUUUCGGCAAGCUAAUUGUAAAUAAAGGUGUAUGAAGGCAGAGUGGUGCACUUUGGUGUGAUCCCACAUCGCCAGAAAGAAGAAAUAGAAAGAGCGAGUUAACUGUAUAAAAAGGGAAUGAGGCUAAUGGAUCAUAUACUUACCUGGAUGGGGUCAAUGGUUGGUCAAGAUGGACCAUGGCCUAGAGUAGUGACUUUCAUUGCACUUUGAAGGGGCGCUGUUUUAAGGUCGGCCCAAGUGGUCGAGCCUACAUCAUAAUUUGUGUCAGUGGGGGCUUGCGUUCGCGCAGCCCCUCCCCAAUAUAUUAGUUCAAAAUUUUGCUUAACAAUUACUUGUUUUUACUUUUGAUUUUUGCUUCUUUUGUUAUUCUGUAAUUGCUUACUUAAUCUAACAGUUCAUUAUGCUUUCCCUGUUAUUCUAAUUCAAGUUGAUACUAACUUGAAUAUGCAUACACUGCAAAAAAUCUUUCAGAACGACUCUUUUUAUCUGUCUAUGCUUAGUGUAAAAUACAAAAAAUACUUCUAUUACUUUCUUAAUCAGUAUUGACUAUUUGUGAUUUUAAGUGGACAAGUUUGGACUCAUGUAGCAAAAAUGUUCUAUAUAACCCAUCAACAUACUUUUUUUUUAUUAGAUAGGAGGGUUGUGGCCUAAAAUGUACUUUUAAGUGUCUUAUAGAUAAAAUAUCGAUUACAUGAAAAAGAAAUAAUGGUAAUGAACUGAAUUGUAGUUUGUUCGUUUAGUAGUUCGAACCUAGAACAAAUAUGAAGAAUGUAAUGAUUCUUCAUUCUCUUUUGAGUUGUUUUGUUGGAGAGAUUGUUGAUGAUAUACCUUAAGGCAGACAUAGAUCCCCACCUAAUUGUCGAUCUAAAAAGCCUUCUCGUACGAUGUUUGUCCGCUUGAGAUGACACUUGUUGUCGUGUUCAGACUAAAUUCUCCUUCAAAGUUACAAGGAUUUAGGAAUGGGUGUGCAAGGUGUCGUCGAUAGAUGCAACCGGUGAUGACCCGAGCGUGUAGGCAGGUAGACUCAGCGAAGGGCAGGAGUAAAGCGCAUGAAAUGGUGUCAUUCGAGUAGUUGUGUGAUAUGAAGAAUUGCACCAAAACUUAGCAAGGUGUGAAUAACGACUCCAAGUCUUUAGUUCAUCAUUUAUGAAUCAAUGAAGACAAAACUUGACCGAACAGUUGAAGCACCUCAGUUAGACCAUCAGGUUGUUGACGAUACGUACGCACCAGAUUAGAAGAGUGUCGUGUCGAGUUNUUUGUUUUUUUUUUUUUUUUUUUUUUUUUUUUUUUUUUAAUAAACUCGUUCUAGAAUCGAGUCUAGAUCCGAAAUAAUUGAACAAUGCAACCCAUAAAGUUGAUAGAUGUUAGAGAGGAACAUGUGAACAAGCAUUGAUGCCAUGUAAUUGGGUUUCGAGAUCGAUGAAGUCACUAAAUUAAUUUAGUUAGACGAUCAACAAUGACCCACAUUUGAUCGAGGAUGGGAAGAGGUUCUAGAGGGUCAUAGGUUUUCUUGGAUGAAUAUUUGACUUGUUGACACGUGGUAAAUGCUUGAAUGAAAUUUGCAACAUUAGACCGCAUGCUCACCAGUAAAAUGAUGCAACUAAGGGGGUGUUUCGCUUAGCUUUUCAUAUGCCAAAAUAACUUUUAGUAAAAGAUCAAAGCCAAAAGAUGUUUGGCAAAAGACUUUUAAAACCAACUUUUGGAUUUUGAAUAGAAGAAAAAUCAACUUUUUGGAAAAUUCAGGAAAACCUGAUUUUUUGUAACUUUUUGGAAUGACUUUUGGCCUCUAAAAAGCUAAUCCAAACACCCCCUAAGAGUUAUAUAGUAGCAUUGACUCUCGAGUGGCCCUCAGUUGGGGUAGUAUGAUGCUUAAUGACGAUGCGAUGGCGUAAGUCGUUCAGGGGCGGAGAAACAAGGUGAUUUUGGUAGUAAACCAUGUCGCUAUGCCCCAGUCAGCUCCUUUGUGGAAUAAUAAGAAUGAACGUUAUCUAACCAUGAGAAAGUGGGAUAAGUAAUGGUCAUAUAGUGGUAAUGGAGUCGACUAAGGGUUUCGGUGACACGUUCCGAAGCCAUACUUGGUGGGAUUGUCUUUGAUUCCUUUCGUUUUGUUCCUUGGGUGUUCACGUCUUUUCAAGAAGAUUAGGUUGCGUUUGGUUGUGGAAAAUUUUCCAAGAAAAACGGAAAUUUUGAAAACGCGUUUGUUUCGUUAAGUUUUUCAAAGUUUUCUAAGAAAAUGAAAAUUUCCAGUUGAAAUUGAAUGUAAACUAGAAAAGUGAUUUUAUAGGUUUUCCAAAAUUUUACAAUUUCUAAGAUGGAAAAUGAAAACUAGAUCUACUGGUUCCAACCAAACGUUUUUUCUAAAAUUUUUAUUAAAAACUGAAAUUGAAAACUCAAUUCUAUUCUCUGAAAACAUUUUCUUAGAAAAUGAAAACAGUUUUUCACAACCAAACGCACCCUUAGUAUCCCAAAUCUCUAACCUCGUAUUUUGUUUUGAUGUCAUAGUAGUUGGUAUCAUGUGUGUGAUGUCGGUCAAUGCACAUGUUAAGAUGUUUGGUUGCGUUUUUGGAGUUAUAGAGUAAUCCCCAUGUUCUUAAUCGGUCCAACAUGUUAAGGUAGUUUUAGUAGUUGAAAUCUCCCCAAUGUGAGAGUAGAACUGGUAUGGAUUAAUGGAAGUCGAAAAAUCCUGAUGUUUUAUAACUAUCACUAAAUCGCAACGCUCAUCUCUAUAUGUGCAACGCCUCGAUGGUUUUUUGACGUUUACAAUAAACGAGACCAUUGACUUUGAGUUUUUGGCAGUGGACCUUGGACCGUGCUGGUUGAGGCCGGUGGUCCAGGUCCGGGUUUUCCGGUUCUUGUACUCGUUGGAUCAGUACAACUUUAAGUGCAUAUGAUACAACUUGUUGAAUCCCUACCAAAAGUUAGUUUAUCUAUUAUGACAUAAGGUUGAGUAUUUUGAACCGGACUGGACCAUAACGGACUUUGCAGAAAUUGGUGGACCUUAGACCAGAGUUGUUGAGGCCAAACCAGGUCCGGUUCCGGUCCGGUCCUGUCAGGAGGUCCAAAUGCUCAUCCCUAGGGUAGCGUGUUCCAUUAUGUGUGUCGCGCCUAAUCAAUAAUUUUGUUAGUUGGUGUCGUUUUUCUUAUCGAGAUGUUUUGUUCUGGUUUAAGGUGCGUGAUUUAGUUGACGGGGUGUUUAUUUUCCUCUGCUCAUUGCCUAUAUCACUUAGAUCACAGGUGAGUAAAUCCUUUUUCCAACUUUGGUACAUUGUUAAGAACUACAACUUUUUACAACAAAUCGAAUGAUUCGAAUUAGUCUUUUAUGUUAGCUAGUGAAUCUUUAUGCUACUGUUUAUGUGCUAGAAAUACGUUAUCUUGCUGUGAUAUGAGCUUUAGGUUGUCAUGCAUGCUAGAUGAUAUUUAUGAAGAUGUGUUAUGAUAUGUGAUAUUGGAUUCAUGCUAGACAAUUUGGUGGUUUCACCUCAUCAUGAUUAUUAUCUACUCACUCCUGAAGGAAAGAGACAUAUUAUUCCAUGGUUUCUUUAUGGAUUAAUUACUCCCAAUCAACCUCCUGCGUAAAAAUGUGGUCAGUAACAUUUUUUCUUGAAAUCCUUAUCCUCGCUCAUAAUAAAUAAUAACUUAAAUUUUAAUUCAAAAUAUUUUUUUAUACAGAAUCCCCGAUUCUAACACUUGGAGCCCUUCCUUCAUCAAGUUGAUUCUGUUGGUUCAAAACAAAUGAACAAUGCAAAAUGCUGAAAAGCUCUCGAUUAUUAUUCAGUGAAAAACAAAGAAUAGAAGGCUGCAAUAUAUAGCAGCACUUACAACUAAAAAAGUAAAUGCUGGAAACAUGAAAAGACUAAAAGUAAAAGCAGGAAAUAUGAAAGACUUCAACGGUUAUGAAGACACACACGAGAGCACUUAUUUCACUUUAUUUCACUGACUUUGAAUUAGUCUUCAACACCCCCCUUUGAUUCAAAGCUUCCAAUGCCAACACAAGCUCGGAGACGCUGAAAACGUGCAGGCGGAAGAGCCUUAGUGAACAUGUCGGCCAAUUGUUCUUCAGUAGGACAGAACUCCACCCAUAUUACACCUGCUGCCACCAAGUCUCGAAUGUAGUGGUGCUUAAUUUCAAUAUGCUUGGUACGCCCAUGCAUAACUGGGUUUCUUGUCAUGGCAACUGUCGAUUGACUGUCAUAGUAAAUCACAGUUGGUUCCCUUUGUUCCUGCAUAAGAUCACCCAUAAGUUUUCGUAACCACACAGCUUGACACACGGUAAUUGUGACCGCCACAUAUUCCGCCUCAGUUGAUGAUAAAGCUACCGUUGCUUGCUUCUUUGACUGCCAUGAAAUUAUUCCAGACCCAGUACUGAAUCAAUUCCCUGUUGUACUCUUCCUGUCUUCUUGUGAUCCUGCCCAAUCACUGUCAUUGUAUCCUUUUAGCACAAACCUUUUUGAGUUCAAAUACCAGAUACCAUAGUGCUUGGUACCAGCUAAGUAACGAAUAAUUCUUUUGACAGCUCCAUAGUGUUGUUUUCUGGGUUUGUGCAUGAAUCUUGAGACUACUCCCACUGCAAAACUUAUGUCUGGUCUUGUGUGAGUGAGGUAGAUUAACCUCCCAACUAUGCUCCUGUAAUUUUGAGGAUCUGUCAUUCCUGUGCCAUCUUCACAUGUUAGCUUUUCAUUGGUGUUCAUAGGAGUUGUGACUGGUUCAAUAUUCUCCAUGUUGAGACCCUUUAGCAUGUCUGAUACAUAUUUUUCUUGAGCAAUAAAAAUACCGGUGUUUGUUUGCUUUAUUUCGAUCCCAAGAAAAUAAUGUAGCUUUCCAAGGUCUGUCAUUUCAAACGUCUUCAUCAUCUCCAUUUUAAAUUGAUAAAUGAGCUCUUUAGACGACCCUGUGUAGAUCAUGUCAUCAACAUAGAGACUGACUAACAUGAUCCCUGCAUCACCUUGCUUCCUGAAAUACAUGGUGGGUUCACUAGGACUUUUCUGAAAACCGUUGAAGCGAAAGAAGUUGUCAAUCUUGCUAUACCAUGCACGCGGAGCUUGUUUAAGCCCAUAUAAUGCCUUCUUCAACCUAUAUAUCUUCCCUUCUUGCCCAGGAACAAUAAAUCCUUCGGGUUGUUGAACAAAAACUUCUUCUUUUAGGUCCCCGUUUAAGAAUGCCGACUUAACAUCGAACUGGUAAACUUCCCAUUGUUGUUGUGCAGCUAAUGCAAGAAUUAACCUUAUUGUCUCAAUUCUUGCCACCGGUGAGAAUGUUUCAUUGAAAUCUACACCCUGUUCUUGUCGAAAACCACGAGCAACUAAUCUUGCUUUAUGUUUUUGGAGACUACCAUCCGCAUUGAACUUUUUUUUAAAAACCCAUUUCAAAGGAAUUGGAUGCUUACCAGCUUGAGGUUCCACCAGAUCCCAUGUCUCGUUCUUUUCGAUCGCCAUAAUUUCUUCCUCCAUUGCUUUCUUCCAGUUAACAUCUUGAAGUGCCACAUCUGCUGAGACUGGAUCACCAGCGAACAGGGAUAGAGUGCUAUCAUAAAUGUCAUUCAAGUUCCUAUAUCUGAGUGGUGGAGUAUCUGGAGACGACACAUCGGAAGAGCCAGGUGUGGUCCUCGAGGGCGUAGCAGAAGAUGAUUUACAGUGAGUAGAGCUCGGUGUCGGACUUGAUGGAGGAGACAUGGGUGUAAUGAUCGGAUGAUCAUGCACUUUAUCUUCUACAUUUUCAAAUGAAUUUGGCUGUGGCAUUAAGUUUGUGUGAACCGAUGUAUCCACAUAACUUGAAUAUUCUUCAAAAAUCACAUCACGGCUGAUAACAAUAUUCUUAUUUAUAGGAUCGAAUAACCUGUAGGCCUUUGACAUUGUACAAUAGCCCACAAAGAUGUAUUUCUUGGACUUCUCUUCUAGCUUGUGCCUAUUUGUGGUGACCAAUGCAUAGCAUAAACAGCCAAAAACACGCAAAUGAUCAACAGUGGGCUUGAACUCAUACCAGGCUUCGAAAGGUGUUUUAUUCCAUACUGCUUUGGUGGGUGAUAGAUUGAGGAGAUACACAGCUGUGGCUACCGCUUCUGCCCAAAAUGAGUCAGACAACUUACUUGUUUUUAGCAUUGAUCGAGCCAUCUCCACAAUAGUCCUGUUCUUCCUCUCUGUGAUUCCGUUUUGCUCAGGUGUAUAAGGAGCUGUCAAUUCUCUUCUUAUUCCUUCUUCUUCACAUAAUGUAGUGAAUUCCUUUGACAUGAAUUCACCGCCUCUAUCAGUUCUUAGAAUCUUGAUUACAUUGCUUCCUUGUUUUUCGACAAGGGCUUUGAAUUUUUUGAAGUGCUCAAAAGCUUUAGAUUUCGCUUUGAUGAAGUAGACCCAACACAUAUGAGUGAAAUCAUCAAUAAAAAGCAAGAAGUACUUACUCCCCGAGUGUGAUUCUGUCCUCAUUGGACCACAUAUAUCUGCACAUACUAUCUCCAGUUUUUCUGUUGCUCGUCUUGCUUGCCCCUUCGGAAAGGAUCUUCGUGUUUGCUUACCCAAGACACACCCUUCACACACAUGGGUAGAAUCUUUUAUGGUUGGCAGCCCGUUCACCAUUUGUUUGCUUGUUAAUAGUUGUAGACCUUUUACAUACAAAUGACCAUAUCGAUAGUGCCAUAAUCUUGACUCAUCAUCCUUGCUACUCAUCAUCAUAUAUCCUUCUUUUCGUGAAAAAUCUACUGGAAACAUCCUAUUUCCAGCCAUUUUUGAGUAUAAUAGAACUUCACCAUUUUGUUUCUUUACCACACAAGCAUCAUUUUCAAAUUCUACCUUCAAUCCAUUUUCAAUUAACUGGCCUACACUUAUCAGAUUGUGGGCCAGACCUAUCAGAUUGUGGGCCAGACCUGGUGCAAAAUGAACAUCAUUGAUGAGUUUAUCCUUUCCAUCGAUGCAAACCGUCACAACUCCUAUUCCUUCUAUCGCAACUGGUUGGCCAUUGCCGAGACGGACACGUGAUUUUCCUGUCGUGUUCAGGCUUUUGAACUUGUCACGUACACCGGUUAUAUGAUUAGAACAUGCACUGUCUAUAUACCAUAUCUCCUUUGUAACAUCAACCGGAUGAAUGUGGGUCAUGAACAAGUAAUCUUCCUUCUCUUCAAAUUCCUCUUCAGUGUACUUUGCUUGGUUUUGCUUUGUCCAACAAUCUUCUUCUUUAUGACCAAACUUCUUACAAUGAUCACAUUGAACUAGUGACCCUUGUGAUCUCCCUCGACCACGACCACGAGAUGAUGCUCUGCCUCUUCCUCGACCAAAGGAAUAUCUACCUUGUUCUCCUUGGAUCCGAAAUGCACGUUCUCCAUCUUGAGUAUGAGAUCUGUUGAUUCUUGCUUCAUGUGCUUGUAGUGAGCCCAUCAGUUCAUCAAAGGAAAAUGUUGUAAGAUCCUUUGACUCUUCAAUAGCCGCCACAACAUGGUCGAAUUUAGAAGGUAGACUCCUCAGUACUUUUGCAACAACAACUUCAUCAGAGAUUUUAUCUCCAUAAGCACGCAUCUGAAUCACAAUCGAAGAUGCUUUUGCAAGAUACUCUUGAACGGUUUCACUUGGUUUCAUGUUUAAGGUCUCGAACUGCCUUCUUAGGGAUUGGAGUUUAACUGUGAUCACCUUUGCUGAUCCUUGAUAUUCAGUUUUGAGAAUGUCCCAGGCAUCUCGUGAUAUGUUUGCUGCAGCAAUUCUGGGAAAGAUUGUUUCAUCAACAGCUUGUUGGAUGAAAAACAAGGCUUUUGCAUCUUUCUUUUGAUUUUCUUUCUGACGUGUCUCAUCUGUGCUUGCUUUUGCAUACCCAUUUUCAACAAGAUCCCACAAAUCUUGUGACUUGAACAAAGUCUUCAUUUUGGUACUCCAGAACUCGUAGGAGUCUCCCUUAAAGAUUGGAAUUUGAGGGUGAGACAUGCUAAUAGUGUUGAGGUUCUGUGCCAUCAAAACAAACCAGAGAGACUUAGGAUUGCAACCUAAGCUCUGAUACCACAAUGUUGGUUCAAAACAAAUGAACAAUGCAAAAUGCUGAAAAACUCUCGUGUAUUAUUCAGUGAAAAACAAAGAACAGAAGGCUGCAAUAUAUAGCAGCACUUACAACUGAAAAAGUAAAUGCUGGAAACAUGAAAAGACUAAAAGUAAAAGCAGGAAAUAUGAAAGACUUCAACGGUUAUGAAGACACACACGAGAGCACUUAUUUCACUUUAUUUCACUGACUUUGAAUCAGUCUUCAACAGAUUCAUCUGCAUUACAACAUGCAGCCUCAACUCUGGCAUGAUGACAUGGCUUUAUUGUCCAGACCCUUGCUUGUGGUCAACGUUGGAGGACCUAUUCGUGAGUUUAUUUUUCAAAUUUCAUUUUUAAUCUUUUUAUUUUUUGUAAAAAAAUAAAAAUAUUAAUUAAUUGUUUUAUUAUAGGUUACUGCAGAUAUGGUGGCGACCUUGCUAGGGAGUCAACAACAUCAUUAAUGAACGUUCUUCCAAGUUGUGGGAGUGUUAGAAUUUCAUUUUCUAGAAGAACCCCACACCAGGUAUAUUUUUAUAUAUUUCUUUUAAUUAUAAUAUUCUAUUUUUUUAAUAUAAAUAAUAUUUGACAAAAUUACAGGUGUCUGAGAUGUUAGUAAAGGAAUUCCGUAAACGUCCUAAGGUUUAUAUCUGGGAUGUAAAAGGUACCCCACUCCACUCCACUAUCUAUCUAUAGGCCCCACUUGUUAAACAUGACAUAAUAUAACAUAACAUGUUUUACUUAUUUUGUGUUUGAUAUGUGUUGGACUCGGACUGAGACGGGAAAUGGGAUUGAUGUCAGUAGGAUAAAAAUAGUAACUUUUGAUCCGGUCCCACACAAAAAGGUGGGAGUGGGACAAGGACUCUUGAAUCUUGAUGUUUGUUUUGUGAAAAAGACGUAAAUGCCAUUUUCAUAUAUUGUUUGUGUUUGUGUAGAUCCAAAUCCACACAUGGGACAUUUAGCUAUGGCUGAUGCUUUUCUCAUCACUGCUGAUUCAGUCAGCAUGAUAAGUGAGGCCUGCACUGCCGGGUAAGUCUCUUAAUUAAGGCAGAAGGGUAAAAUGGUCAUUUACUCUCAUUCAGUCCAAAAAUGAGUUUUUUUUAAUCCGUCAUCACUUGUAGACAUAAGGGAAAACUGGUAAUACAAUUACACUCCUAAGCAAUAACACUUGUAGACAGAAGGGUAAAAUGGUAAUUUACUCAUUUUUCUUCUUUUACAUUCCAGGAAGCCUGUUUAUGUAAUUGGAGCCGAGAGGUGUACAUGGAAGUUUGCAUAUUUUCAUAAAUGUCUGCAAGAAAGAGGGAUGCUGAGACCAUUCACUGGUAAAGAGAACGUAAGUUGAAACACAAUAUGAUCACUUAAAUAGCAAAGGGCAAAAAGACAUCUAUACCCUCAAUCAAAUUGUAUUUUAUUUUCAUGGUGUUACUAUUUACAGAUAACUGAAACAUGGAUCUAUCCUCCAUUAAGAGACACAUCAGAAGCAGCUGAGCAUGUGAUAAAAGCACUUGCUGAACGUGGCUGGAAAUUGCAUCCAUAAUGGAGCCAAAAUUUUAUAUAUUUUUAUCGAUUACAUGUUAUCAGAUUAUCUAUAGCAUAAAUCAUCGAUAACAAUUAUAAAGGCUUACAUUAUUUGUUCUCUUGAUUCAAGUUAAUAAUAUAUGUUAACUAAUUUGAUUAGAAUAGUGAUGUAUAAUUAUGAAUUUAUAACUAGAUUACAUUGUUUUUUUUUAAUUGAACUUGUAACAAAAAUAAUUUUAAACUCUUACAUUUCAUUUAUCUUAUUCAAAAGUAGUUAAAUUGUUGGGUUUUUAGCACCCUCAAAUGAUUGGAAUGUGGAAUGUGGAUCUUUAUGUCCGAUCUCAUGUAUAUAUAUAUAUUUUAGUCGUAAUAACAAAUUCAUGAUGAUAAAUGCUUGUAUGAGAAUAACUCUUUAAUCUUUAUAAUUCACACAAGUGUCUCUAAUUGGGUACCAACAUGUUAUGGAUUUGUAUUGAUUUUCUUGAAUAUAAGCAAAUGGAUAUAAUUAAAUCGAAAGUUAAAAGAGUGUAAUCAAAGUGUAUUUAUGUUUAUCUCUAUUUGAUUACUGCUCUUUGUCAAACGGAAAAAAUAAAAUAAAAUAUAUCUAAAAAUAAGAAGUUAAAAUGACAUUACAGUCAAAUAGUUGACAGGUAAAAAUAUUAUUUUGUUUUGAGUUUUAUUUGUUGUGUUCUCUGGCUUAUAACAAUAAUUAUUAAAGAAGAUUUUGCCUGUUUAUUAGAGAUGAAUAAUUUUUUUUAAAGGAACCAAUAUGUGAAAUCUUUAAAAAAUUUGUCAAUGCAUUUCGAUUGAUGCUUUCAUCUUAAAAGCAAAGAGUUUCUGCAAAGGUGUUGAAGGAAAAGCGUUUCUGUGGAAAUAUCAAAUAUGCAAGUCUAAUGUGAUCCCACAUCGCCAGAAAGAAGAAAUAGAAAGGUAGGGGAAGUAUUAUAAAAACGAAACGAGGUAAUUGGAUUACUUACUUACCUGGAUAGGGUCAAUGGUUGGUCAAGAUGGACCAUGGCCUAGGUUAGUGACCUCCAUUGCACUGAGCAGGGGUGCUAGCCUAAGGUCGGCCCAAGUGGUCGAGCCUACAUCAUAAUUUGUGCCAGUGGGGGCUUGCGUUCGCGCAGCCCCUGCCCAAUAUCUUAGUUUGAAGUUUUUGCUUAACAACUACUGUUUUUUUUUUACAUUUUGUGGUUUGAAACGGAACAAAUAUGAGGAACGCAAUGACUCUUCAUUCUCUUUUGAGUUGUUUUGUUGGACAAAUUGUUGAUGAUAUACCUAAAGGCGGACAUAGAUCCCCCCCACCUUGUUGUCGAUCUAAAAAACCUUCUCCUAAGAUGUUGGUCCGCUUGAGAUGACAAUUGUUGUCGGACUAAAUUCUCCUUCAAAGUUACAAGGAUUUAGGAAUGGGUGCGCAAGGUGUCGUCGAUAGAUGCGACCAGUGAUACCGCCAGGUAGGCUCAACGAAAGGCGGGCGUAAAGGGCAUGAAAUGGUGUCAUUUGAGUAGUUGUGUGAUAUGGAGAAUUGCACCAAACUUAGCAAGGUGUGAAUAACGACUACAAGUCUUUGGUUCAUCAUUUAUGAAUCAAUGAAGACAAGACUUGACACAACAGUUGAAGCACGUCAGUGUUGUUGGUGAUACGUAUGCACCAGAUUAGAAGAGUGUCGUGUCAAGGUUCUUGAAAUGAGUCUAGACCCGAAACAAUUGAACAAUGCAACCCAUAAAGUUGAUAGAUGUUGGAGAGGAACAUGUGAACAAGCAUCAAUGCCAUGUAAUUGGUUGAAGUGACUAAAUUUAUUUAGAUGAUGAACAAUGACCCAUAUGGUUGUCUUCCUAUGGGAGACGAUGAAGUCCAUAGUAAUGUCCUUCUAUACUUCUGAUACCUUCAAUUUCAAUAACUUGCUGAUGUAUAACAAAAAUAGUAAAGUAAAUUGUGAAAAACAUAUAAAGGCAAACCUAAGAAUCCCAACUUUUUUAAAAACAAAUUUCCACAAAAAUCAAGCAAAUAGUUGUAAUCUCUUAAAAAAAUGAAAGUUUAAAAAACCUAGUAUUAGUCAUAUAUUUGCAACCAGAUAUUUUUAAAAAUGGUUUGAUAUUUUGUCAAAAACAUGUCACUCAAAUGAACAUGGAAAUAUCAACGGUUAUCAUUUUGAACAUUUUUCCUUCAUCCAAUUGUUAAAAAAUAAAGAUAAAUAAGUGAAAUUGGAAAUAAUAGGCACUAACUUUGAUUCCUAUGUCCUUUUCAAUCUCAAUAAAAAUUUAAAUUUUUUAAAAAUAUAAGUUCAAACUUUUAUAACAAUGAAAAAAAAUGUCAUGAAAAAAAAAAAAACUCAAUUUUCAUCCUACAAUGGAGUUAGAGCUACAUAGAACCCUUCAAAUGUAUAAAAUACUUUUUUAUUUUUAACUAAAAUAAUAUGUCUAUAUUUUCAAAGUCAACAUUAUCUAAGUGCAAAGUUUUUGUUUUCAAAUUUUUAUAGAUUAUUUUUGUAGCAACAUAAAUAAGAUGGUAAGAUUAUAUUGGAUUGCAUAAAUUCAAAGGCUAAUUUUUCAUAGAGUAUUUUGGGAAUUUAACAUUGAAAACUUAUGGACUUAGAAAAUACCAUGUGGCAAUACUUAAGGACUGUUUGUUUUUUGUGUGAAGAUCUACGCAACCACUUUUGUCAGCGCCACGCAUACAACGCACAGACAUAUGCCCUCUGUAACAACGUAAAUUUUCAAACAAAAUUUUCAUUUCAAAUUAAAGUAUUUUCAUUCAAAACAAGGCAUAAACAUUCCAAGUGUCAUGUCAGAAUACAAAUCAUAUAAAUCCCAAGAUCAGAAAAACAUCUAUCAGUGUGUACAAAUCACGCCGGCGCCUUCCCACGGUCCUUGCUAGUACCUGAAACACAUACACAAUGACUGUAAGCAUAAAUGCUUAGUGAGUUCCCCAAAAUACAACUUACGCACAUACGCCUUUCCAGGCCCUGACCUUCCGGUCCAUGUGUAUUAGGGGACUUCCGUCCCUGCUGGGUAAACCUUCCGGUCCUAUCCACGCCAACCUUACGAUCCACAUUACACGCCUUCCGGCCCAUAUUAUAAUGCCUUCCGGCCCACAUAAACAUACAUAGUACGCAUAACAAUUAACUUAUCACAUAUAACACAUAUAUCACAUAUCAUAUCCGACCUUCCGGCCACACAGUCAAACCCUUCCGGGUACGGUAUAGUGAGAAGACUCACCUCGCGAAUAUCGAAAGCUAGCAAAUCCCAAAGUCACUCGUGCUCGAUCCGCCGAGCUACAAUCUCCCUAUAACAUCAUACAUCUCUUAUUAACACUUUUAUCUUCUAAGCUUGACUAUCCCUAAGAAGUCAAACAUAGGUCAACUCUGGUCAACGGUCAACGGUCAACUUGACCGGACUCGGCGAGUGCUAGGGCGACUCGGCGAGUCUAGACGUCCUCACCAAUUCUCUAAGAUUCCCUUUCUACACGUCGAGUAUCCCCCUUGACUCGACGAGUUCCUCCUGGAAGAAUCGCGGGGCCACCCCGACUCAACUCGCCGAGUCUGAAGAACAACUCGGCGAGUCCCAGUCAAUCUUCAAGCUACUCGCCGAGUCUGUUCAUCGGACUCGGCGAGUCCAUGCCAUGCAACCGCUCAAACUGCUUUCUAAGGUCAGAUCUGCUCCGACAAUUCAUAGGUCUGGCCUUCCUAGACUGGUUCCUCACGUAAAGUCCUCAUUUUGGUGCUCAUAAUACACCCCAUGACUCAUAAUUUACGUUUUGACCUAAGGCAUAAGGAUUCCAAUCCAAAACCUCCAUUGAUUCCCGAAAUGCUCAGGCAUGGGACAUUCUGGACUUCCAAGGGUCCCAAUAUAGGGUUCCAAUCGCUUGGGGGACUAAGGAAACACUCAAUCUAGCCACAAAAGGGUUCAAUAAACCCUAAAUCCAUAUACACAUCAACAUAGAAGGGAUCAACUCGAAAUAUUACCUGAAUAACGUUGCUCUGUGUCCCCAACUCUCAGAAUAUGGCUUCUCCUGUUGUUCCCUUAACCAAGCCUCCUCCUUUUUGCAAAAUAACACUUCCAAGAUCAAUAAUGGCCUUCUACCUUGCUCCAGAUGCUCUCAAUCGAAUUAGGGUUUCACUCACAAGACUAGGGUGAACAAUGACGGCCAUAAGGUCCCCUUAUAUAUGUCCCAAACCUGGACGGUUAGGGUUUCGCUAAACAGCGCGAACUCGCCGAGUCCAUAUCCUGACUCGUCAAGUCCAGUCGCGAACCCGCGAUCCUACUCGGCGAGUCUGAGCUCCAACUCGCCGAGUCCCCUCUUAAAACACCCAAAAUCAUAAAUAUAACGAUACCUGAAAUUCCGGGCUGUUACACCCUCACAGAUUGUUUGUUUUUUGGAAGUGCGCAGAUCAGAAAACGUUUGCGCGAGGUCUUCCUGGCGCAGAUAUGAGCCACUGUCUUCAAAGGUCUUCAGACCUCAUUUUAACCUAAACAAAAAAAAACAUGGGCCACCGUGCAGUUUUUUUUUUUUUUUUUUUUUUUUUUUUUUUUUUUUUUUAAAUGCAUUUUUAAUGUUUAUACCAUGAAAUUAAGUUUAAAAAUUCAAUUUAUUUUAACAGCUGCAAACGUUAAAAACAACAGUCUUCUUAUUGCAGACUGCAUACAUUUGGUCCAUCUCUUCUGCCGCAGAGGCUUGUGGAUGUGGUCCACAGACAGACAUAUUGACUUCAAAAAAAUAAACAACACCUUAUUUUUUUUAUUAUAUAGGGAGACCGGUGAUAAUUUAGGAAGCGAGAAGCAACAUACUUUUUACUUUUAAACUAUAUCUUGAAUGUAACGAGCUAUUUGGUAAUCUCUAAAUGAAAUCAUUCCAACAUUCAACAUAUUUACCAAACUUGUAAAUAUGGUUUUAAGGCAUUUGAUCCAACACCUCGUCUAUAAAGAAAGGGUUUAUGUCCAAUCUCAUAUUUUUUUUAGAUGUAAUAACAAAUUCAUGAUGAUAAAAGGUUGUAGGGUAACAACUCUUUAGUCUUAUCAUUGACACAACCUUGUCACCAAUUAGGUACUAACACAAUAUGAAUUUUUAUUAAUUUUUUUUACUAUAAGCAACUGAAUAUACAUUCAUCAAAAGUUAAAGAGUGCAUCAAAGUGUAUUUAUGUUUAUCACUAUACGAGUACUGAAGAAUGUUUUGAUGCAAUAAUGGGAUCCCACAUCGCUUCAAAGAAAAAACUAAAGGCAGGGGAAGUAUUAUAAAAUGGGAGCUAGGCCAACGGGUUAAUUACUUACCUGGAUGGGGUCAAUGAGUGGUCAAGAUGGCUCAUGGCCUAGAGUAGUGACCUUCAUUGCACUUUGAAGGGGUGCUGCUUUAAGGUCGGCCCAAGUGGUCGAACCUACAUCAUAAUUUGUGCCAGUGGGGGCUUGCGUUCGCGCAGCCCCUACCCAAUUCAUCACUUUAGGUUUUCGUGUAAAGCUACUCCUGUGAUAAUUAUAUUUAUGACGUUUAGAUCUUCAAAACAAACCGUAAUAUAUAUAUUUUUAUUACGGGUUUUUAAUAUAAUAUUUUUUCUUUCUGAAAACGUAAACAGUUGUCACUUGUUUUUUUUUGUAUGACGAUGACUUUUCACGGCUUUAAUAAUGGAAUAAUUACUGAAUGACGUUUGCGCUAGUGUCUCGAACCUUUUCAAUAUCUUGGCAUUAACAAUUUUAAUUUAUAAUAAUGCAUCUCAAAUAAGCGACAAUAUUUUAUUCAACAUCGCUUGACAAAAAUUGUGAAAAUUCGAAGUGCAAAGAGUGUGUAAAAACUUGUCACACCAUUGAUGGGUGUUUCGAGAAAAUCCGUUAUACAGAGUGGUGGGAUACGCGUCAACGGAAGACAACAGGAGAUCAACGUAAGCAAGUUAAACCAAAACCAAAGGCGACAAACUUUGAAUUCAAUGCUAGUCCAAUAUCGGGGCUAAGUUUGGAGCAAAACACUAAGUUGAUAAAGCAGCUAACUGACACACAAAAACUAUAGAUAAACAUGGUUGGUAAGUACAUUUUCAAUACUCCUUGGGUAAUUGAUUAAGGAGCUAAUGAACAUGUUGCUUGUAAUAAUGAUGCAUUUUUUAAUUUAAGAAAUUCAAAUGAUGAUGUGCUAGUUAGAAUACCAAAUGACAAUAAUGUCAUGUAUCAAAGAGUUGGGAAUGCGAAUCUUCCAAAUAACAUCAAAAUAUAUGAUCAGGGCCUUGUGUAAACAACAAAUUUAUAAAAGGCAAAUAAGUUUCUUUUCCAAUUUACCGAUUUGGCCUUGUGUAAAAAAUGAAAAUGAUCAGGGCAUGACAACUUUGUACGAAUUGUAGAAACUAUAGAAAUAGUGUCCUAUUUUUCAUUUUUUUUAUCCAAAAUAGCAUUGUACAUAACAAUGCACUUUACCCUUAAUAAAAGGACCAAAAUGCCCUUUUUCCAGAAUUCCCUUGUUAAGAAUUAUAGUCGGUUGUCAUUAUGGGUUAAAAAUGUUUUAAAAACAUAUAAGUAUUAAAUCAAUACAAUUUUAGCAACCAACUUUUAUUUCGUUUAAUACUAUUUUUAAAACAUAUAACUAAGAUGAUAUAAGUGACAUAUUUUGAAAAAAUAAAAAUAAAUAAACAACAAAAUUAGAAUAAGUGAAACAAGAAAGCACAGUUCAUGUACAGAUCUACUAUUAAUUUUAGCAAUUCCGACAAAAAAAAUUAUCUAUCUAAAUUCUCUGCACCCCAUAAGCCUCUAAAAUGAAUGCACUUUUAUUCCUGAUAAUAUAGAACUGAAAUAAAUGCUAUGGGGAAGCAACUUUUUUAAAUCUGUGCUCCAAAAUGAUGUUCAAAAUCUUUUCGGGGAUGUAAAACCUUUUCUUGAUGGUUUUGCUCUCGAGAUAUUUUGAUGGUUUCUGGUCAAGAGAAGCCACUUUGAAGGUUUCAUCUUCUUUAACAAUACCGUUCAUCAAAAUUACCAAGAAGUUAUUACUAUGCACAUGUAAUAAAAAAAAAAAAUAAAUAAAAAUAAAAAAAAACUUGUUUAAUUUGUGAGAAACAUAAGUUAACUGGAAGACACCUUGACUAUCACGAACAUUGUCCAUGAGAAAAAUUAAUCAUUUUCCUUUAUACAAUGCUGCAACUUCAUGGUGUAUUAAUAUUGUCUUGAAAUAAUCAAUAUGGUCAUGAGUAUAAUCCAUAACAACAUUACCUUGGCAUCUCCACUUUCAAAGUAUUUAAUUAAAAACGAUGUGUAUUUGAGCUUUGGUCAAAGUGAGUGAAAAAAAGGAGUCAGUUUUAUUCAAAUGAUCAUAAAAAAAAAAUUACAACUUAAACAUGAAGAAUAAAAAAGAUUAAAUAAAUGUGUACCAAAAUAUCUUACAAAACAAAAAGUUAAUCAUAAUAAAAUUAGAUUAAACAGUUUUGAACAACAAUAUAGAUUUUACAUUGUUCACAAUAACUUUCGUCACCACGAGUAAAAUAAUCACCUAAAACCAAAAUCAUGUUAGAACUUGAUUAAAUCUGGACUAAACACCAUCCUGAUUUCACUGAUCUCAAAUGGACCUUCUCAUGCUGGUCCUUAUUCUAAUCUAAGAGUCAUGUUAUCUUAUUUUAUCUACUAUUAAGUAUAUCAAUUCUCAUAGACAUUUUAUCAAACACGUAAUAUCAAAAACUCUUAAACAACAUAAUUCAGAGCAUAUCAAUUCUUAAAACAAAAUGAUCAAAAAAUAAAAAUAAAAUGAAACAACACACUUACCACUUGUAGACAUCCCGGUUUAGCAACUUCCAAAUGUACCGGAAAAACCUCCAAGUCGAUGCAGAGUGAAAAAAGAGAAGAGCUUAUUUUGGUUAAAACCAACACUCCAUAAUCGAAUAGUAUACACAUAGAGAUUAAAUAAUCUCGGUGAUUUUGGAAUUGAUUUAGUGAGAUUACCUUCACAAUUUAUGUCGAUUCCUUGCUAAUUAACUGAAAAAUCUCGAAUAUUAAGGUGAAGAUUUCUCGCAUAUUAAGUUUACUAAAAUCAUAAAAUAUCUAUUCAAAAUGAUAUCUCGGUUGAUGACAUGUGGCAAAAAUCUACUUAUUUAUUGGGAAACGGGAUUCAGAUGCAACCUCUUGUCAGCGGCGUAGGUACAGAGAUACAAACAGUGAGCCUUGGCCCACCCUACAUAAACUUAGCUUGUAACAUCAAAAUAGGUGAUGUUCUUUAUAUAUAUAUAUAUANNNNNNNNNNNNNNNNNNNNNNNNNNNNNNNNNNNNNNNNNNNNNNNNNNNNNNNNNNNNNNNNNNNNNNNNNNNNNNNNNNNNNNNNNNNNNNNNNNNNNNNNNNNNNNNNNNNNNNNNNNNNNNNNNNNNNNNNNNNNNNNNNNNNNNNNNNNNNNNNNNNNNNNNNNNNNNNNNNNNNNNNNNNNNNNNNNNNNNNNNNNNNNNNNNNNNNNNNNNNNNNNNNNNNNNNNNNNNNNNNNNNNNNNNNNNNNNNNNNNNNNNNNNNNNNNNNNNNNNNNNNNNNNNNNNNNNNNNNNNNNNNNNNNNNNNNNNNNNNNNNNNNNNNNNNNNNNNNNNNNNNNNNNNNNNNNNNNNNNNNNNNNNNNNNNNNNNNNNNNNNNNNNNNNNNNNNNNNNNNNNNNNNNCAUGUACAACUUUGUAAUGCACUUGAAUAUUUAUUAGGGGAAUCUUGACUAAGCAGACGCAUUUCAUGACUACAUUUAUAUUUCCAAUCAAAUGAUUUAUCGUAUCAUGGAUUCUAGACAAGUCUACAAACGAGUGGAAUCACAAGUGCUGUGAUUUUUUAGUUUACUUAACUUAAUUUAAGAUCGAACUCAUGGGAUAAGAUACAACAUCAAUAUGUACAAUAUCAUGCUGCUUUUGUAGAAACAUCACCAUAAUAUUGUACAUAUUGAUGUUGUAUCUUAUCCUAUGAGUUCAAUCUUAAAGCUAAGCAAACUCAAAAAUCACAGCACUUAUGAUUCCACUCGUUUGUAGACUUGUCUAAAAUCCAUGAUAUGAUAAAUCAUUUGAUUGGAAAUGUAAAUGUAGUCAUGAAAUGCGUCUGCUUAGUCAAGAUUCCCCUAAUAAAUAUUCAAGUGCAUUACAAAGUUGUACAUGUAUGAAUAAUGUCCUUUCGUAAGUUAUGUUUUGAAGAGAAGCAAGAAUGAAUCUCAUAAUAUUGGUAGGAGAUGACGUGAGAUUUGCUGUAAAUAAGUAAAGAAAAAAUGAAUCAGGAGGGUAACCAACUGUUGCAUUUGUUCUCAUUUGGCCCCUUUCGUUUUUUUUGUACUCAAUAUACCAUCGAACUUGUUGUUUGUGUUCACCAUAACCCUUUGACCGGCUAUCACAGGUCAAAAGCCGGUCAAAAGGGUUAUGGUGAACACAAACAACAAGUUCGAUGGUAUAUUGAAUUAAAGAAAAAGGAAAGAGACCAAAUGAGUACAAACGCAAAAGUUAAUUACCCUCAAGACUCAUUUUCCCUAAUAUAUAUGUCUAUUUAAUAAAAGGAAAUUUAGGGCUGCUAUAGUGAAUUCUAUAUUCAUCUAACACGUUCUUUUUAUUAAAUUAAUUACAAUUCUAUAUUCAUAAUGUUCUUAUUUUUUUAUUUCCAUAAUUACAAUUAUUUGUUUUAUUUAUAUCUUAUAUAAAUUUUAAGUGACUUAGUUCAUACAAAUUUAGCAUUAAGCGUUGAUUUUACACUUUUAUCGUAUAUUUGUAUAUAUUUUGUAAAUUAUGCUGCUAAUUUUCGUUAAGAAUUUUAGUUAAGACUUCAUUUUAGAUUAUUUUAAUAAUGUAAGAGAGUGUCGUGUGCAACUUAAAUUAAUAAUUUACUUUUAAAAUGCAUAUAUUGUUACAUUUUGUUAUCAUUUGAAGUAUUUUGCUACUCGUAUAUAUUUUGUAAAUUGUUUGGUCUAUCUUAAAACAAAAUUUUGGCUACGUCACUGUCUGUGAGUUAGUAAGAUUACUAAGAGUCUUAAUUGUUUUAUGAUAUUAGUUCCCGAUUUUUGUUUCAUUCAAUACUUACCUAUUAGGAAGUUGAUUGGCAUGGGUAGAUGUUAGAAUCAUCUAUACAACAUGGAAGAUAUGGAUAAGAGGGUUGCAAUCAUGACGGUUAGAGUUGAAUCUGAAAUAUAGCACAAACGUCUUAGUCAUUCUUCUAAAUUACAUCAAAUCGAGUCUAUUCGUAGUGAAGUUAACGUAGAAAAUUGUGAUUCUUGUGUACCGAUCAAAUUAUAUGAAUUUAAACACAAUUAAUCCAACAAACUCUUCGAUUAAAAGGAAAAUAGCUCAAAACCUUUUGUGUUACAAUCUGAAUAACCCUAACACGGCUAAACAAAUUAUAUAGACAAUGAUACCAACUUGUACAGAUGAAUUAGUAGCGGCUAUGGCUAUGAGAAACGGAUGGUUUCGAUUCGAGCUACCAGAGCAAAUACUUAUUGAAAGUCAAUACUUAUUGAAAGUCUAUACCAGGUUGUUGCACAUAUCCUUCAACAACCAACCUUGCCUUGUAUUUAUUAAUGGUGUCGUCUGCAUUUUUCUUCAAUUUGAACACCCAUUUGAGUCCGAUUGACUUCACCCCCAUAGGCUUAUUCACGAGAGUCCAAGUAUUAUUCUUGUUUAUCGAUUUGAUUUCCGCAUUCAUGGCUUUGACCCACUCCGGUUCUUUCUUCGUCUCUUCAACCGAUACCGGCUCAUCAUUGGUCUCGAGGCUCAUCUUGAAAUCGUUUUUGAGGUACUCUUGGUCUCGAGGGCCUUUGGUUUGCAACUCCUUGUUGAACAUUAUUGUUGAUUGAACUUGGUUGUUCAUUAUCUUGUACUUCUGCUCCGUCCUCAAACUUGUGAUCGGAUUCAAUAGGUUCAAUUGGAUAAUUGUUUACAUUGUUUCCUUGAUUGUUGUUCGCCCCGUCUUUCGGGUAGUCCCAUGGUAUUAUGAAUGAGCCCGGUUCAUCAUUGGUUGUUAAAAAAAAGUUCUUCGAGAUUAUCAAGAUCAAGCUCAUAAUCUUGAAAUCGUUUUGGAGGUACUCUUAGUCUCGAGGGCAUUUGGUUUGCAACUCCUUGUUGAACAUUAUUGUUGACUGGAGUUGGUUGUUCAUUAUCUUAUACUUUCGCUCCGUCUUCAAUCUCAUGAUCUGAUUCAAUCGGUUCAAUUGGAUAAUUGUUUACAUUGUUUCCUUGAUUGUUGUUCGUCUCAUCUUUCGGGUAGUCCCAUGGUAUUAUGAAUGAGUUUGGUUCUUUAUUAUCGGUUCCUAUUUCUUUAAUCCAAUCGCACCCUUUAGUUUCAUCAAAAAUAACGUCUUGACUCAUGAUUACUUUUUAUGUAGCCGUGUUAAACAGUCGAUAGGCUUUCGUACCCAGUUCAAAACCAAGAUGUACUAGUGGUCUAGAUCUUGCAUCCAACUUCUUAAGAUUUAUCAGUUCAACUUUUGCAUAUGCUAGACACCCAAAGAUACAAACAUUUUCUAAGUUCGGUUUUUCUAUUAUACACCUUCUCAUAUGGAGUUGUAUCCCCAAGGACUCGUGUGUAAACACGAUUGAUCAAGUUGGUAGAGUGUUUUACCGCUUCUUUCCAUAAGUAAUUUGGAACAUACAUUGCCUUCAUUAUGCUUCGUGUCAUCUCCAUAAGUGUUUGGUUUCUUCGUUCCACAAUUCCGUUUUGUUGUGGUGAAUAUGGGGCAGUAAGGUGGCGUUUGACUCCGUUUUGAUCACAAAAUGUAUUAAACUCGAGAGAAGUAAACUCACCUCCUCGAUCACUUCUAAAAACAUUCAAAGACUUUCCGAUUUCAUUUUCCGCCAAAGAUUUGAAAAUUUUGAAGUGUGUAAACGCCUCACUCUUCUCUUUCAUGAGAUAAAUCCACAUAAAUCGUGAAAAGUCAUCAAUUAGUGUGAUAACAUACCGAUUUUGACCCUUGGUUGCCGGCAUGAUCAAACCGCAUAAAUCACCGUGAACUAGUUCCAAUGGUCGUUUUGCUUUGUAUGUCAUCAUAGUCGGGAAUGACAUUCUUGUUUGAUUGCCUACCAAGCAAGACUCACACAAUUAAUUCACAUGAUCAAAUUAGGGUAACCCCUUGACUAGACCCUUCUUAGACAUCUUUUUCAUUGACUCGAAAUUGAUGUGCCCAAGUCUUGCAUGUCAUUACCACGUAUCUUCAAUUAGUCUCAAAUGAAGGCAAAUAGGUACUCCGAUUUUUAAUUUAAUUUUAUAAAGGUGAUUUAGGGUUCUUUGUACCUUUAUUAAUAAGCAAUUAUCGACAUCAUGAAUGGUCAAAUAGUUGUCUUUCAUCCGAAUGUCACACCCGACUUCGGUUGCUUGUCCGAGACUUAUAAUAUUAUUCUUCAAAUCCGGUAUGAAAUAAAUCUCCGUCAUCAAUCGUUGUUGCCUCGACUUUCCUUGGAAAAGAAUAGAGCCCUUUCCUUUAAUUCCUACACAUGAAUUAUCACUGAGUUUAACCCUCCCGGUUAUUCCUUCAUUGCGUUCGGAGAAAAACGACCGAUUUCCCGUCAUAUAAUUACUCGCCCCGUUACCACACACCGGUGUCUUGUGAGUUUUAUCGAGAUGGUAUCACCUUUUCUUCGUUCAAAAAUACGGUCUCGUGCAAAACUACAGUCGUAUCGUUAUCGUCACUUUUGAUAAAAUUAUUUUCUUGUAACUUAUGGAUUCGGUCCGGACAUUGAGACGCGAAGUAGCCCGGUUUAUAGCAUCAAUAACAAAUAACUUUGGACCGAUAUUUUUUUAUUUUUAUUAUUCCGAUUUAGGUUGAAUGUGGGCCUGUUGGACUGUUUAUUGUCGGUCUGGUUGGUAUUGGGCCUUGUACUUUUGGGAUACCACAGAGACCAAAUUUGCAUGAAAGAUUCAAUUUUGGACUGACCAUGCAAAUGAAAACAAAAUGGACCGAAGCUACAAUUUUUUAGGAUAUCACAAUAUCCAAAUUUUCAAUUUACUCUUUCAUUUAUAAUACUUUUUUUGUCAUUGUAAUUCAAAUUAGGUCGAUUACAGUUUUGAUCUUGUGGUGCUUCGAUCUUAAUUAUGAAAUAUUGAUACAAGCGAGGGUGCGUGCGUGGGUGUAGGUCUUAGGGUGGGUGUAUGAGGGUGGACAUAUGAAUGGGUGAACAACUGUAGGGUGGGGUAAAUAUGGGAGCUGUGACGAUAAUAUGUUUUGAUAUGAUGAAUAAUGAUCAAAACAAAGAGGAGGCAGGUAGGUAUUUUUGUAUUUAUUAUAAAACAUAAGGAAUGAAAUCUCUCUCUCUCUCUCUCUCUAUAUAUAUANNUAUAUAUAUAUAUAUAUAUAUAUUGCCUUUAGCCAAAGAAUGACCAAUUCUUUAAGACGUGGAAUCUAAUGGAAUUUAAAAAAAUUAAGAUCCUUUGAUUCGUUUUCAACCAAACACAAUUUUUACUGGAAUUUACAUUUCAAUUCCUACAAAUUCCUUUGAAAUUCGUGAACCAAAAUGCCGUAGGUUUAUGUAACACCCGCAGAUUCGGACUAGUCACUUUAGAGACAAUAAGCGUCAAAAAUGACUUAUUGAUAGGAGAUUAUUUAAAAUGAAUAAUCUUAACCAAGUUAUAUUAUAUGUCACAAGGGUUUCAUACAUAUAAAGAACGCUGAAAUCCAAGUUAUAACAAAGAAUAUAUGACCCGUUGAAGUUUUUCGACAAAACCGGCACGACACCGGGAAUCGUAAAAAGUGAAUUUACAAUAAAAUACUUUCUAGACUUAGCUAUCUAAACGAAAGUCGUAGUAUACGUUAAACCGAGAGUGCAUAAAAAGAACGUCAAAAUCUGAGUUUGUAUGAGGAAGUUAUGAUUUUUCUAAGAUUUGGCAUAACAAUGCACAACCCGAAAUUCGAAUUUUAGAUCGAUCAAUUCUUGGCCAAUGCAACCUAAACGAGAAUCGAAGAUCUCGUUAAUAGUAGCACAACGGUAAAAAGACAGACAAAAACAGACGUCGGAUGAAGAAGUUAUGAAAUUUUAACGGACUUUUACUGUCCCAACCUGUUAAAAAUAUAACUUUAAAAAUAAAGUCAAAAUUAGCCGACAAAGUCUAAACGAAAGUUGUAGGGUAUGGUCCCGCCUACGCGUGGAUAUAAAGAACGUCAAAAACGGAGUUCGUAUGAAUGAGUUAUAAAUUAUAAUAGAAUAUUUACGUAUUAAAAUAAAGUAUAAAUCAUAUAUACGUAUACAUAUAUAUACAAAUGUGUCACAACUAGCCUUUUUGGCUAGGAAAUUUCAUCCUCAAGUAAACGAGGACUAUUAUGAGACUUGUGCUAACACACCUAAGUGUUCAAUAUGAGUUCCCAAGGAGCCAUAUAGUGUUAGAAUCCAAAUCUCUCCAAGUAUGUGAAAUUUCUCCAAAGUCUCUACAAGUAUGUGAAAUCUCUCCACGUCUCUCAAAUCUCCCUAAGUACCUUCCUCAGUCGAAAAAGCUCAAAACCGGAAGAGGAAACCCCAAAAGGACCCUCUUGGUCCGGACACCUUCUAAGGAACCGGGAAGGUUCUCACCCCGGAACCCUUUGCUUCGGAUCUUAUAAUGGACUUCGGAAGGCUUCACUCCAGAAGCACCAUGUUCGGAUCUUCGGAUCAUCUCCGGAAGACCUCGCCUCGCCUCAUUUCGGAAGGGUUAGACUGCCUCGCAUCUUCGGUCCGGAUCAGAUCUCUUGUAUCCGAAGGGAGUACUCUGGAAUCAGGAGAGAAGCUUCGGAAUCGGCCCAACACCUCCGGAACUCCCAUGCUGCCACUUUGGAGCCUCGCAGGAUGUACCCUCCCCUCCGGAAUUUGAACUACUUGCUUCGGAAUUUACUCCUUUGCUCCGGAAAUUUCAUAAGAAUUUCGGAUUUCGCUUCUAAGCUCCGGGUUUUGGUCAUUUUCGGUCCUUUUUUUCAUUUUAAGGUAUUUUGAGGUCGGGAAUCCCACCAAACUCGUGUUUUUCUUAACUAAGACCCCUAUUUAAUGCUAAAAUUAAUUAUUUUAAGCAUAUUUUUCAUAAAAAUAAAUGUUUGGGAUUUAGGAAAACCUUAUCCUAAAUCUAGAAAAGGACAAAGAGGUUGACUUUGUGAGUUGAUGGAAUCCUCAUUUCCGAUGAAAAUCACAGUAUUCAAUGCUUUACCCACCAAAUAUCCAUGCAUGGACCAUCAGAUCCCCAUGCACAAAAGAUUCCCUUCCUUUUUACAUCCUCAAAGCAACGUCGGUAAGGAGUUUAGACUUCACAUUUUCUCUCACUCCUCUCAUUUUAUCUCAAAGAUCCACUUCAAGAGCAAGAAUAAGAUCUUGCUGAAGACAAAAUUCUCAAUUUCUCCCUGGAGUUGUAAGGUAAAUUCCUCUACUCGUCUAAUAUUUUAUAAUAUUUCAAGAUGAAUCCAUAUUAUUUUAUUCAUAAUAAUAUGUGAUGAUCAUCCUUAGGAAGACAUCCCUCUUAGGGAAGUUUCUCAUCUCAGCCAAAGUUUAGGCUUAGAAUCUCCACUCCAAGCAACUCCUCAACUAACUCAAAGUGAGCUUCAUACCCCACCUUUUUCAAUGUUUUAAUGUUUUGGGGGGAGAGUACAAGUCAAUCUUGCCUAAAUUCUUAAAUGAUUGCAUAUAUACGUAUGUUUGUAUGUGUGUGUGAAAUAUUAUUAGAUUAUUAUUUAGUAAUAUACUCAUGAACGAAGAAUUUCUAAAUGUCAUAAAGAACAGAGGAUACUUUGUACCAAAGAGCCUCCCAACUAUUGGGUGUGUUCAACUUAACCCCUUUAUCUAUGCUUUCAUGUCUAAAGACAAAAGUUAUAAAAAGGGACCUUACUAAGUGGACACCAUUUCUAGUGAUUUUUGAAAAUAGGAACCUUGUGACUAUUUUGCAAACUACCAUGGAGUAUUUUAUAAAUAUCCAAUAUAAAAGUUUGUGUCAAGAAAUUACACAAAUAGAGCCUUUAUGACAGAAAUAUUUGCAUGUCAUAAAACCUCCAACAACAUAAGUAAUGUUCUAUAUGUCAUAAAACAGAAAAUGCGUGUCAUAACCGACAGUUAUAAAUUUAUACAAAUUAUAACUUGACACUUUUCUCUUGACAAGUGAGUGCAUAGUCCCUUUCAUGAACAUGAUUUUAAUACAAGUAUUGAUUGAAGUAUUAAAUAUAUGUUUAUGUGCGAAUUAUUUGGUGUUGUCUGAGAUAUGUGUUAAAGAACAUACCUGAUAAUAUAUUAUGAUUUAGGAUAAAGAGUAAACCUAAAUUAAUUAUAAGGAAUAUUGGGUAGUAUCUUCUUAUGAGUACGAGUGAGAUAUACACGGAGAAUAGAACUUUAAAAUAUGUCAUUGAUCCAGGAGCAUGUAUUAGACAUAGUCAUUGUCACUAGUCCGAGAGUAUGGAUUGGACAUAGUCAAUUGUCAUUAAUCUGGAAGUAUGGAUUAAGACAUAGUCAGUUGUCCUUAGUCCGGGAGUAUGGAUAGGACAUGGUUAUUUGUCAUUAAUCCGGGAGUAUGGAUUUCGACAUAGACAUUUGUCCCUAGUCCGAGAGUAUGGAAUGGGCACAGUCAUUGACCCGAGAGCAUGGAUUAGAUCCGAGAGUAUGGAUUAAUUAAGAGGUAAAAUUUAAGGUCCGGGAGUGGGGAUAAUGUUGUUGGGAGGAUCGACGGGGUAGGGUAAGAGUUACUUAUAUAUAUGGUGAAACUGUAUAUUCUAUGAGUUUUAAAUUAUAUAUAUGAUAUAACAUUGUGGGAUUGAAAUCCCUAUGUACUCACCAGGUUUCCCAACCUGACCCACUCAAGUUUAUUUUUAUCACAUGUGUCGAUACGAAGCUACUUUAAACUGAAAGAUUUAUAAGAGAUGUAGAUCACUAGUGUAAAAUAAUGUAAGGUCUCUUUCAAAAAAAAAAUGUAAGGUUUGUUUAUGCUUUUGUUUUUGUAUUGACGAUGACAUCCCGAAGUUUUAAAAGAACUAAAAUGAAUUUCUUCAGAAAUACUUUGAUAAUACAUUUAUCAUGUUUUUCUAGGAACAAAUUCCGCAACAUUUUUGUUAAAAAGGUACUCUGAUUUUUAUAAAGCAUAAACAAAAUCGGUAUUUUCUGGCCGUGAAAAAAAUGGGGAUGUCACAGUUUGCAACUAUUUAUGCACAAAGAAACACAAUAUGAUAAGUUAAAAGGAGCAUAUCACUUCAGUAGGAAGCCAAAAGACAUGAGUGCCUUCCAUAAUUUGUAUAUAAAUUCCAAUUUUAUUUGAUAGUGUUAAUGUUUACAAGUAAGUGAAGCAGGUGUAUCAUCCAUUACAUGACGGCCGGCCUAAAGGCCGGACGAACUGGGCCAUGGCCCAAGGCAGCAACAAAUGAUGGGGCAUCAAAUUUUAAUGUAUGUAUUUUUUUGGCCCAAAAUAAUAAUCACAACAUAAAUCCAACUUGAUAAGGGUGUAGGUCUCAGAAGGCACGAGAGUCACUGACAAGAAACAAGUAGAUGCUUUCGUCUUUUUAGGAAAAACAAUCUCCACGCCUAAUUCAAGGAGUCUGAAAGCACCGAAGAAGACGAGGAGACGGGGAGGAAUCGAUUGGAUCAAUGCUAACUUGCGUCUUUACCUGCUGCGAUUUCCCUAAUAAAUCAAUUAAUCAAAGAUUUAAGUAUUAUAAAUUCCCAUAUGCUCUCCUCUCUACAUUGUAUCUAAUAUGUAAUCUCUUUCAAGUUUCAUCUCUACUCUCUUACUUGUUCCUUGUGAGUUAAUUUCUCAAUCUCUUUAGUCAUUGUUUUUAGUUAUUCCCUUCAUUGAAGUUGUGGCAUGUGCGAUGUAUGGCUAGUAGCUCGAACAGGACCAAGUCCAUCAAGUAUUUGACUAAUUGGCUGUUUGAGUAUAUGAUUUGUGAAUAUUGUGAAGCAAUAGUUUUCUUGUAUAAAGUUUAAAUACAAAUUUUGUUGUUGUUUUAUAAUUUAUAAACGCUUCAAUCUAUCGUCAUUAAUUAAGAAAUAAUCAUAUUGUUUGAGUAAUUAAAUGAUUUGUCUAAUUGCUCUCACAAUGAACCAACACUGGUUAAUAGAAUUUGGGUGUUCAAUUGUUCAUUAGAGUGUAGUUUCGUGUGAGUUUGUUUGAAUAAGAUUAGAGUAUUUUGAUGUUUACUAAAGUGUGCUAAUUUUGGUUUUAAUAAAACAACAAUUUGUUAACAUGCGUAGAGUUUUUACAUUGUUUAUUAGAGUAUUUUAAUGAUAAUUUGUUUGAUUUUCAGUUGAUUAUUGUUUAUGUUUAUUACAGUAUAAUUUGUGCCUUUAUCCAAUAAUUUACAUGUUUAUUAGAAGGAUUGAAACUAUAACUUACAUAUCACAAGAAACAAUCUACUUGUUGCAAUCCAAAGCUUUGUCCAUCCAUUAUAUAAUGUAACAAAGAAGUUUUUAAAAAUUAAAAAUUGUAGAGGUUAUAUAUGCAGACUAAAUGGCGUAAGAAAGAUUGAAUUGGAUUGAAUUGUUAAGCGUAAUUGAUAUUUUUGCAACAAAGAAUAUACCAACACAAAGACAUCAAUUUAGGUGAUGUUAGCAAGUUUUUGUUCUUAUGUAUACAAAAUUUUUAUAUAUAAAAAUGAUUUUUAUUUUGGUUUUAUUACUCUACCUUGUAUACUGGUUCCGUACAAAUAUAGGGGCAUCGAUAAGUGUUUUUGCCCGGGUCAUGAAAAACACAUGGACCGGCCCUGCAUGACAUAGCAGAGCAUAGCCAAGGGUGUUCAUCGGUUUAAAUCCAAUGAGUUUUGAUAGACCUGAUCCAAUCCUAUUAUCCAUUAGAUGUUGGAUUUUGUCAACUGAACCGAAUCAAUCCAAUUAUGCAACCGAACUGAAUCAAUCCAAUUGAAUAUUUUUAUCCAUUGGAUAUAUUUGAUUGACUAUCCAUUAUGCAACAUAUUCUAAUCCAUUUUCUAUCCAAUAAAAACCAAAUAUAAUUAUGAUAUUUUAAAUUAAAAUCGCUUACAAUUAGGGAUGAGCAAAAGGACUGAACCGGCCCGAACCGGACCCGGACCGGGAACCGGAUUUGGCCAAAAUCAAGAACCGAACCGGCCCGACGGUUCUACCGGUUCCCGGUUCCUACCGGUUCUUGUCGUGUCUUCAAAUGUUGGAACCGGUCCUCGAAAAAUAGCAUCAUACGGUGCCGGUUUUUGCCGGUUCUACCGGUUCCGGUUAUAUUGGUUUCGGUUCCUACCGGUUCCCGAUUCCAAAAAUCCAUAAAAAUAACGUCCCGGUCCCGGCCCGACCCGACCGGUUCCAUCGGGUUCCGGUACCGGUUCCGGUCGGUUCCCCGGUCCAUAUGUUCAUCCCUACUUACAAUUAUACUAAAUAAAACUAACAAGCGACACUUCAAGUCUUCAACUUCAACGACCAAGGUUCAAACAUGCAAAAUCAUUAAGAGAAUGAGCUAUAUUUGUAAUUUUCUAUAAUAUUAAUUGGAUAAUAAUAUUGGAUAGUUGUUGGAUAUUCAUUGGAUAUAUAUUUGGAUGAACAUUUGAGUAGUCCGGUUCGAUUAUCCGGUGAUUUUUCAGGGUAAUCGAGAUCCAAUCCAAUUGGAUUUUGAAAAUUCAAAACAUAUCCAAUCCAAUUGUAACCGGAUAUCCAAUCCAAUCGAUCGGUAGUCAAUUCGUAAUUGGAUAUAUUGGUUUGAAUUGGAUCGGUUAAGUUUUACACACCCUAUUUAAAGCCCAUGCGGAGGGUGGCUGGAAAUUGCAUCCAUGAUGGAUGCAAAAUUGUGCUUGUUAUCUAUUUAGCCUAGGGGAAAAUACAGAAAAACACAACAUAUUUUCACUUCUUUAUCAGUUAAGGUUUUCAAAAAGUUUAGAGAUUAAACCCUUGCACUUUAUUUAUCUUAUUCAUAGCAUUUGAAUUACUUGUGUUUUUAGUGAACUCAAAUGGCAUGUGUUAUAGCCUUUGAAUUACUUGUGUUUUUAGUGAACUCAAAUGGCAUGUGUUAUAGCCUUUGAAUUACUUGUGUUUUUAGUGAACUCAAAUGGCAUGUGUUAUAGCCUUUGAAUUACUUGUGUUUUUAGUGAACUCAAAUGGCAUGUGUUAUACAAUAUGUAUGCAUGUAUGCAGAGCUCUAUAAUUUUGUGAUGAAAAAUGAUUGUAGGAAAACCAACUCCUUAUUAACCAACGUGGACCCGCAUAGUAGAAAACAAGAAAGGAAAUAAGCCAUAACAACACACACUCUACAGAGACCUAAACAAAAGACAACACCAAAAAAUCAAGAAAUGAUUAUGGAUUAAGACAAGUGAAUUGAACUAGAGCUUGACUUUUAUGCUUUGAAAUAGGAGCUAAGAAAAACUGUUGUAGCCAUAAUGUGAACCGUAAUCCCAUNNNNNNNNNNNNNNNNNNNNNNNNNNNNNNNNNNNNNNNNNNNNNNNNNNNNNNNNNNNNNNNNNNNNNNNNNNNNNNNNNNNNNNNNNNNNNNNNNNNNNNNNNNNNNNNNNNNNNNNNNNNNNNNNNNNNNNNNNNNNNNNNNNNNNNNNNNNNNNNNNNNNNNNNNNNNNNNNNNNNNNNNNNNNNNNNNNNNNNNNNNNNNNNNNNNNNNNUAUAUAUAAAUUUAUUGAUUAGUUACUAAGAUUUCCAUGACUUUCUCAAUUAUUAACCAAUAAAAAGUUAUAAUUGUUUUAUAUUUUGUAUUAAAAAGCAAAAACAAAUUAAUCAAAUAACUUUUAGUUGUUUCUUUCAUUUUCAUAUACGAUUAAAGUUAAAUAAACUUAUCUCUACAACUUGAAUAUAAUAUUUUAUAUAUUAAUGUAGUUUCUUUGUUUGGUAAUAGUUAAAUAAGUUUUUUUCUUUUAGUUUAAUAUUUAUUUUUACGUGUUGAAUUUUAUUCAGUUUAACCGUUAAACUGAACCGAAUAAACCAGAACCGAAUAAACCGAAACCGAUUAAACCGGACCUUAUUUGGUUUGGUUAUGGUUAAUUUUAAAUGUAAAAAAACCGAUAAAACCGAACCGUAUUAACCGAAAACCGAAAAACCAAACCGAAUAACACCCCUAAUUAAAAUGCAUCAUCAGGCACCAAAAAGUUCCAGGGGCAAAAUCGUCUUAGAAGGGAACACCAAUAUAUUACAGUUUUUGGCAACUUGAUAAAACCCUCAACAAAAGCCAUGAAGGACUUGAAAGAAGGGAACACCAAUCUGGCAAAGAGGAUGUAAGUAGAAACACAAUAUGAUAACUUAAUUCACAAAUAUCACUUCAAUAGCAAAGGGCAAAAAGACAUCAAUACCCUCCAUAAAGUUGUAUUUUAUUUGAUGGUGUUGCUAUUUACAGAUAACUAAAACAUGGAUCUAUCCUCCUCUAAGAGAUACAUGAUGAAGGAAAAGUUGUAUAUUUUUAUCAGUCACAUUUUUUUAUUCAUUUUUAAUCAAAUUAUCUAUAGCAUAAAUCAUCAAUAACUUUAUAAAGGCUUACAUUAUUUAGAUGGGAGUUGUAGUUUUUUUUUUUUUUUUUUUUUUAACGAUUUUGAUUAAAUUUAUAAAAAAAAAAAUUAUGGACUAAUUAAACUCUUACAUUUCAUUGGUAGUAAAAUUUUUUGUUGGGUUUUUAGUACCCUCAAAUGGUGAGUGUUAUAAAGUGUUGAUCUAAAGUUUGUUUUCAUAACCAACUCUUGUAGUUUACUUUAUAUUUACAAUUAGUGAUAAAUUAGGAAGUCUAACAUUUUUUGUCCUUUAAGUUGAACCUUGAAUAUAAUGGGCUAUAGGCCUGACAAUCGUGUCGUGUUUGGGUUGACGUGUUGCGGGUCAAAAUAUGUCAACCUAAACACGACCCAUUUAAAUAUACCGGUCACGGGUUGACGGGUUUGGAACAUAAACCCAUAUAUGACUCGCAAACCCAUUUAUUUAUACGGGUUCACAGGUUGCCAGGUUCGUGGGUCAGAUUCCAUAAAUAAAAUUAAUAAUUAAACAUAAAUAAACUCUUGAUGGUUGAUGCAAACAUAUUCGAAUUUUAGACACUUAACUACUUAAGUCUUAAAGUCUUAAACAUCAAAAUGAAAAUUAAAAACAUUCAUAGAAACAUGUCCAAACUAAACAUUAAUACAAACAUAGAUAAUUCAAGUGCUAAAGUAAUAGCCACAAUUCCUAUUUUUUUCUCCCAAAAAACAAAGUUAAUUCUCCAACACCAUUUUCUUCUUUAUGGUGAACUUCAACCUUCAAGUAGAAACAAUAGCCAAAGUUAAACAUACAAGUAAAACUAUAAAAAUGUAUAGUUGUUAUACAGAUGGCCGAUACGCGAUUUAAGUUAGUGCAAAAAUCGGGAAAAUCAAAUGUUUACAGAAUACAGACUUACGGGAUAGAGAGUUAAGACCUUAGGAGUUACAUUUAAAAAAAUAUAUAUUUUUUAAUUAAAAAUAUAAACGGGUUUGCGGGUCAACCCAUUUAUUUUUUGAGAAACUCAUAUAUUACCCGUUUAAUAAACGGGUUGACGGGUUGAAAAACUCAACUCGUGUCGUGUCACGGGUCUUGUCGAGAAUUGUCAGCCCUAACGGGCUAUUUGGUAACCUCUGAUUCAAGUUUUCACUAUACAAAGUGUUUCUACGUGUAUCACUGUAUGAUUAGUGCUUUUUGUCAAAUGAGAAAAUAAAAUAAAGUUUUUGUUAAAGAAAAAAAUUCAAAUAAUAUUACAAUUGGUAACGGACACGAAAAUGUAUUAUGUUUUGAGUUUGAUUUUUGUAUGUGUAUUUUAUAUCAAGAUUCAUAAAAACAUUGUCUUGUUUAUAAGAUAAUAAUUAAUAAAAUAUUUUAUAGAAAGGUAGGUCAUCCCAAAGUUGUAGUAUGAGAGAUUCGAACUCAAAGGCAACUCCUUUUGAAGUGCUUAAUUUUGAGAUGAUCACCAUCAACCCACCUUAAUGAUGGUAACCAUCAAAAGCAUAACUAGUCGUUUUAGUUUUUGUUAACUCUUGGAUUUUGAUUUUACUCUGAGGAUAAUCAAUUCAUUGACAUUUUGUAUCAAAACACUUACGAAAACUUCAUCAACCAUGACUAAGUUGAAGAAUCUCUUCAAUCAAAGUGAGUUAAUGAUGAUUAUGCUUUUUGUCAAACAAAAUAUUCAUUCAAUAAAAAGUUAAAAUUACAACACAUGUAAAUAUAUCUCUUUGUUUUGUUUUGGGUUUGAUUUGUUUUGUUGCCUGGCUUAUAACAAUAUUCAUAAAAGAAACAUUUGUUUGUUUAUUAGAGAUGAAUAACAUUUUAAGAAAACCAAUAUGUGAAAUAUAUUUAAUAUUUUGUCAAUGCAUAUUUCAUUUGAUGCUUUAAAAGCAGGGGUGUAGAAGGAACCGAGUUUGUGUGGAAAUAUGCAAUGUAAUGUUAUCCCACAUCGUUUCAAGUAAGAAACAUAAAUGCAUGGAAAGUACUAUAAAAUGAAACUUAGGCAAUUGGAUUAGACACUUACCUGGAUGGGGUCAAUGGUUGGUCAAGGUGGACCAUGGCCUAGUUUAGUGACUUUCAUUGGACAGGUUGACAAAUGUAUAAACAAUAAUAUUGAUGUAUCUUAUUUUUAUAGCAUAUUACUUUCAUUCCUUUAUAUAUUAGUUAUGUACAUGACAAAUCUAUCCGAUUAUCUUUCUAUAUCUUUUGAAAGUAAAUAGCAAUGUACUUGUGCAUAAACAGAAUCACAUUUAGCGCACAUUACUAUAAGCUUAAAAAAUGUUAGAAUGCUAUUCAAACACAUGACAUGAAUGAAGAAGAGUUGACUCUUAGUUACCAUAUUCCAUUUUUUGUCAAGUUUUUCUAACUUUAUAAAUGUGUUAUAAUAAAGUUUUAAAUUAUUUUCAAGUUGAUUGUUUACAUGAAAAAAAUAUCACUAUUUUAACUGAUGGUCACACAGAACCAAUAACAGCUUUAACAUGAAUUAUGUAAUCUUUUUUCUAUCAAAAUUUCCAUUUUAGAAACAUUUUUUUAUUAGAAAAAAAACUUUAUAAACUUAGACCUAACCUAGAAAUGAUACACAAUCAAAAAUAAGAUUUAAAAGCGCUUUUUUUUUUUAAUUAAAGUACAUUCCUAUUAAAAAACCAAUUCAGAAACAUUUUUUUAAACUACAAAACUUAAAGUACAUUGCUAUUUCUUGCAAUGUAUUUUCUGUUUUUGCAAUUAACCAAAGAUAUCAAUGCACAUCAAGAACAUGGCCCACCAAACAACAGGGUAGAGGAAAAUUGCAGUCUUAUUAACGAAUUUGAAGUUUCUUCCUAGAGUCAAAAGGGUAUAUAUCAUUUUAACAUGAUAUCAUUUGGAAAAAAAAAAAAUAUUAUAACAUUAAUGUGGUAAAAAAAAAGGAAAAUAAGAAAAACUUACAAACCUUAAAGAUCAUGGGUCCUUGUUAAUGAAACCCAAAAUAUUAACUAUUUCUUGCAUUUGACCCAAUCAUUGGGUUAUUUCCUUUUUAAAAGAACAUGAUAGAACCUUGAAGAUUCCAUCUUGGUUGGGGGGUAAUAACGUAAUUUGAAUUUUGAAGUUUUGUUGGUAUGAAAAAAAAAAAAAAAAAAAAAAAAAAAAAAAAAAUGAAAAACGAUGCGUUGAUGGUGUUUCUCCAUACAAAGAACAGUUUCUUUAACUGGACAAUACAACCCUUUAGUAGCAUCCCAUAAGACAUUCUAUGAUGAUAGAAGCAUAGCAAUAAGAGUUCAACUAUUGACUAAAAAUGAGAGAUGGAAAAAAUGACACGUGUACCUUUAAAGAGAUCUGAAAUGAUUUAUACAACAAUAGCCACUUCCAUGAUACUAUUGACUCUUAUCAAACUCCUCCUUGGAAGAAGUAGCAUUUAUAAUUCAAUGCUUCUAUUAAGUCUAAAUUUGGAAUUCUUAAUUCCAUAUUUUUUCCUACAAACCACCACAAAAUAAUAUAAUUGAGAUAACUUUACUUAAAACUAAACAAAUGAAAUAUUUCAAUUUAAACAAAAAGUAUUAUACAUAGUGAAAAAAUAAAUUUUCACAAAGUGAGUGGCCUUUUUUAGAUGCUAUAAAUAGGUACAAUGUAAUAUAAAAAACUAUAUAUUUUAACCGAAUUUAUCAUUGAUGAUUAGUGUCACCAAAGUUAACCUAAUAAUCUAACAUAAAUGGUAAACUAUAAUUUAUAAAAGCAAAUAAAAAAUUAACAAUCAAAAGGUAAAGUAUGAAUGGAUGGCUUGUGAGAAAAUUCAAAUGAUCGAUCAUUAAAGAUAAAAAAAAAAAAAAAAAAAAAAAANAAGAAAAAAAAAAAAAAAAAAAAAAAAAAAAAAAAAAAAAAAAAAAAAAAAAAAAAAAACAAGCUACAUUCUUUCACUGUAUAUGUGUUAUGUGACAACAAAAGUUCCAUGGACGAAUUUAUAACACCAAUCACCAAACCAUGAACUCUGGAUGCAACUCCAUGAAUUCAACUUAACUCCAUUGAUCUCUUUAACUUUCUAUUGGCUAUAGAAACAUUCUUGUAUGAUGAAUUCACAUCAAGUAUAGAACCAUAUGAGACAAACAGGGACGUGAUGCUUUUAGGAAUAUCUCUUGGUGAGUUUCUUGUUGGAAAGAGAAACCCAAAACAGAUGAUCACUUGAACCCUGCAUCCGACACCACUAAUUGCGCAUCUUCUUCAUCUGCAAUAAAUCAAAUAAAAUAGUUAAUAAUCAACCCACAUAGAGAGAGGGAAAGUAAGUAGAAAAGAACUGACGUUUGGAAGAGGUGAUCGUAAUAUAUAGAGGAGGGUCGUCGGCGAGAAACCGAUUGCUGACCGUAAACAAUGAGUUUAAAUGGCUAAGAUUAAAUACACACUCACCGUAAUGUGUAAUUUUUCCACAAAAAGGUGGGACGGAUGGAUUGUUGAUGUUUGCGAAAAAAAAGACGUGAAUGUUUUCGUCCUCAUUAUAAAAAAAAAAAAAAAACAAUUCUAUAAAUAUUAUCUGGUUAGUUGAUAUGAUGAUUACAUGACAUUGGUACGUAGAUCCAAAUCCAUAUUAGGGCGGACGUAAGAUUUUAGGGGUUGCAUCAUAAUAGAAAAUAUAAAAAUUUUAAAAAUUUUAAAUUUUUUUUCCACUACGGCUUAAAAAGCAAGGGGUUGUCGGUACCACCAGUGAGUUUAUGGAUGGACAUAAACAGGUACCCGCUUAUUUUUGUUGGAACCGGAACCGCUCCCGGAACCGGCGGUUUUUAAGUUAUUGGAACCGGAACCGGAUCUGCCUACACCGGUUCCUAGAAAAUUGGAACCGGUUCCGGUUCCGGUUCCGGGUACCCAGCUUCUUAAAUAUAAAAGUUUUUAUUUAUAAAUUAUAGAGCAUAUUAUGAGGUAUUUAGGGUUGCUUUGAAAAGUAUGUUUUUCAUAUAUAAAAUCAAUGUACAGGGGAAGGCUAUAUAGCCGAUGUAUACAAUUGAGAAGGAGGUAAACUAGGUAAGUAUUGAAUAAUUUACAGCUGUAUUUACUAAAACAAUAAUAUAAAGAUGGUAAAUUAAAUCAUAUAGAUUUAAUUAUCUCAUUGGUCCUUAAUACGCCCCCGCAAGAUGGAGGAUCCAUCGGAGACUCCAAUCUUGGACCGUAGACGAAGAAACGGGCUUCGACUGAGUGGUUUGGUGAGAGCAUCUGCAAGUUGGUCAGUGGAGUUGAUAUGCAAAACUUUGAGAGAACCAGCAGCAACUUUCUCGCGAACUAAGUGAUAAUCUAGUGCCACGUGUUUCAUGCGUGAAUAAUAGACAGAAUUGGCACAGAGAUAUGUGGCACCGGUGUUAUCGCAGAAAAGUGUAGGAGAUGAUGUUUGUGAGACACCAAGAUCGGUGAGCAAGUUUUGAACCCAAGCAAUUUCAGCCACUGCAUUGGCUAGUGCUUUGUAUUAUGCCUCAGUGGAGGAGCGGGAGACAGACUUCUGGCGUGAUGACUUCCAUGAGAUGAUAUUGGAGCCAAGAUAAAGUAUGUAUGCAGUUGUAGAGCGGCCUCCAUGCAUAAUGCCUCCCCAGUCUGAAUCAGAGAAAGCCUUUAACUCAAGAGAGGAACCUCGUUUAAGAUACAACCCAUGGUGUAUAGUACCCUUAAGAUAACGCAAUACUCGCUUGAGUGCCUGUCAAUGAAUCUCGGAUGGGGAAUGCAUAAAUUGGGCUAAACGAUUAAUAGCAAAGGAAACAUCAGGCCUUGUAAAGGCUAAAUAUUGCAGCGAACCUACCAGUUUACGAUACGGUGUUGGAUCAACACUGGGGGAGCCAUCCAUAGGGUGGAGAACCUGAGACGAGUUAAGGGGAGUAGCAACUGCUUUUGCACCAUCCAUAUUGAAUUGGGUUAGAAGGUUCUGGAUGUGACGGUGUUGGGAUAGGAAGAGACCAUGAGUGGUUGGAAUAACUUCGAUACCAAGAAAAUGGUGAAGGUUUCCUAGGUCUUUGAUGGAAAAGCGUUUUGCCAAGGUGUCAAUGAACUCAUUAAGAAAUGAAUUGUUGUUGCCAGUAAGGACAAUAUCAUCAACGUACACCAUGAAAAAGAUUAAAUAUUGGCAUGAUUGUAGAUAAAGAGAGAGGCAUCAGCUUGGGAUUUUCGAAAACCACAGGAGAGAAGAAAGGAGGUUAAUUCCAUGUACCAUGCCCUUGGUGCUUGUUUCAGGCCAUAAAGAGAUUUCCGCAACUUGAAAACAUGAGCAGGAAAUUGAGGGUUAGUAAAUCCUGAAGGUUGGGUCAUAUAAACUUCUUCAUGGAGUGUACCGUGUAGAAAUGCAUUGUUCACGUCUAGUUGACGGAGGGUCCAGUUGUGAGAGAGAGCUAGGGAUAUGAUGACACGAAUUGUAACCGGUUUGGCUACAGGGUUGAAGGUACCAAAGUAAUCUUUCCCGUGUUGUUGAAGAAAGCAUUUAGCAACUAAACGGGCUUUAUAUUUUGAGAUUGUACCAUCGGGUUUGCGUUUGACUCGAAAGACCCAUUUACAACCAAUCGGAUUGUGAUUGCCACGUGGUACUAAUUCCCAAGUGCCAUUUUGCAUGAGGGCAUUAAAUUCUUGAUCCAUGGCAUGACGCCAGUUAGGGUCUUUGAGAGCUUGGUUGUGUGUAUGAGGUUCAAUGGUGUGGGGAAUUGGAUGAAGUGUUGCAGCAUUGAUGAAUGAUGGGUUGAAAUAUUUUGGAUUUUUCUUGCGUGGGCGCACAGUAUGGGGAGGUGUUGGGGGUAUAGCAGUAUUGGUGGAGAGAGUAUCAGGAGUUGUAUCAGGUGAGAUGAUUGGGGUGGGUGGGUCGGAGGUUGGUGGUGGAGGGGAAAGGGGUGAGGACGAUUGUCCAACAACAAUAGGGGAUGACAGGGAUGAGGUGUUAUUAGUACGCCUGGAGUAGACAAGGGGUAGGAGGUAAAGGGACAAUGUGGUGUGGAGGACUGUUGUGAAGGUGAAGGAUCGGACUGUUGUGUAGGUGAAGGAUCAGAGAUAGGGUUGGUGUUUUCGGUGGUUGUUGUUGAGGAUGUAUUGGUGGUGGAGGUGAUAGGAGGGGUAAGAUUUGGAUCAGGUGUAGGUGGUAAAUGAGUAUAGGAGGAUGUUGGUGGGGUUGAUUGUGUUGAUGUGAGGGAUGUGUCAGGUGUAGGUAAGGGAUCAUGAGAUGUAGAUAGGGAGGGGAAUUGGUUCUCAAUGAACUGGACAUGUCGCGAGUGAUAUAACCAGUGGGUGAGGGGGUCAUAGCAUUUAUAUGCUGAUUUAGAGGUUGAAUAACCAAGGAAAAGACAUGGAGUGGAUCGUGGUUGGAGUUUGGAGAUAGUAUACGGGCGUAACCAGGGAUAACAUAGACACCCGAAAGGUUUGAGUUUGUUGUAAUUGGGUGAUUGACCAAAUAGAUGUUGGUAUGGGGUUUGAUUAUGGAGGAUUGGUGUGGGAAGCCGGUUGAUUAAAUAGACCGCGGUCUCAAAUGCGUGUGACCAAAAGGUUAAAGGAAGUUUGGCAUAAUGAAGGAGGGCAAGGCCUGUUUCGACUAUAUGUUUGUGUCGCCUUUCAGCGACACCAUUUUGUUCAGGUGUAUGAGGUGGGGUUGUAUAAUGAGAGAUGCCAUGAGUUUUGAGGAAGGGUGAUAGACCAAUGUAUUCACCACCAUUAUCAGUAAAGAUGGAUACAAUGGGUGUUUGAAAGAAUUUUUCAACCAAAAGUUUGAAUUGAGGAAAAAUGGUGGCAACUUCAUAUUUCUUUUUCAUAGGAUAAAACCAUACAUAUUUGGUGAGAUAAUCCACAAAAAUCACAUAGUAGGUAAAUUUAUCAAUGGAGUUUUGAAUAGGGCCCCACACAUCAGAGUAAAGUAAUUGCAAUGGUUUUGAGACAACAAAGGAAUUAGAUCCAAAAGGUAGUUUGUGACCUUUAUUAACUAGACAAGAUGAACAAUGCAUAUCAGGCAGUUUAGAGCUAAGGCCUAAUUUUGAGAGCAGACACCGGAAAACUUUGGAGGAUGGAUGACCUAAGGUAUGAUGCCAAUGACUUGGGGAUGCUUUAAUGGUGAAAUUCAGUUGCAGAUGAGGUGGUAGGUUGGCAUAGUAGACAUCUUCAUGGUUCUCCCCCCACAUGAGAAGCGCCCCCAUGCGAAGAUCCUUCACAAUAAAGAAACGUGCAAAAAAUUCAACAGACACCCGGUUAGUCUUGCAUAACUUUGCCACAGAAAUAAGAUUCUUUUUCAAUUGUGGAACACAUAACACAUUAGGUAAUUGUAAAGUUUUAAGUGGUGUGUGAAUGCGUUCAGAGCCAACAUGAGAGAUUUGCAAGGUGUUACCAUUCCCAAUAACUACUUCAUCUGGUCCACCAUAGUCAGACACAUUAUGAAGAGUGGAACGGUCACCUGUGACAUUAUUGGAGGCUCCACUGUCAAACAUCCAAGAUGGAGACACAGGAGAGGGACCUGACAUUGUGACAUUGGCAAUUGGAGUAGAUGAUUGAUUUGUUGAAAGAAACAUUGUUUUCUCGCAGGAAGUGAGAUAGUUUCCGGCAGUCACGAGUGAUGUGUCCUGGGAUAUUGCAGUAUUGACAAAAGGUGUUGGGCUUGUGAUUUCGAUUGCUUCCUGAAUUUGAAGAAGACCGGUUAUGUCGAUUGGUGAAGUUGCGUUGCUAGCUUGAAUGACGAUUAGUAGAGGCACGUUGGGAGUAGGAACCAUCAGAUUUUGCUUGUGAUCGAUUCUGUUGUCGACUGGUGUAGUCAACUGUGGUGAUGACCAGAUCAUAGGAGGUUGUGUUCUCCUUGAGGGCACGUUCAAAAUCACUCAAUUUGUCGAAUAGUUAUGAGUAGGAGAGGGGUGUUUCACGGACUUUAAUGGCAUCAACAAUGGUUCCAUAUUCAUCACCGAGUUGGGAUAAAAUAUGAACAAGCAUGUCUUCUUCAGAGAUAGGACUUUGUGCAAGUGCAAGAUCGUCAGCAAUAACGCACAUGUCUUGGAGAUAUUCAGCUAUUGAGCGAGUACCCUUUGGGUUUUUGACAAGUUUGGAUUUGAGGGAGAUAACACGAGAUCGAGAAGCACUAGCAAAGCUAGAUUUAAGACGAUCCCAAGCCUCUCGUGAGGUAGUGGCAGACGAGAUCAAGGGUUGAAUGGAAUCAAAACAGCAGCCAAGGAUUGCACUAAUAAUAGUUUGAUCUUGGCGUUACCAGGAAAGAUACUCUGGGUUUGGUUUGGAUCUGUCUUUAUCAUCUAGAAAGCGCUUGGGCGGUUGUUGAUCGCCAGAGAUGAAAGUGUCAAGUUCAAGCCCUAUUAGGGUGGAUUCAACUUGACGGCGCCAGACAGGAAAGUUAUUGGUGGUGAGUUUGAUCGGAAAAUGAGUUGCUGAUGUGACUUGGAUUGUGGCCUUUGUCAUUAUGAGUGGCGAGGAAAGAAAGAAGAAGGAAUAGAUAUAGGAUCGACUCUUUAGAGUAAUUGGGGCUCUGAUACCAUAUGAGGUAUUUAGGGUUGCUGUGAAAAAGUAUGUUUUUCAUAUAUAAAAUCAAUGUACAGGGAAAGGCUAUAUAGCCGAUGUAUACAAUUGAGAAGGAGGUAAACUAGGUAAGUAUUGAAUAAUUUACAGCUGUAUUUACUAAAAUAAUAAUAUAAAGAUGGUAAAUUAAAUCAUAUAGAUUUUAUUAUCUCAUUGGUCCUUAAUACAUAUGGCAUCGAUAUUAACCUUUACAAACAUCAGAAGUAGAAGAUAUGAUAAUAAAACAAUUAUAAAAACUUACAUAACCACCUAUUAAAAUUUAAAAACACUUUCCACAAUUAAAAAACAUCAUAGAAAACAAUUCCAAUCAAGUGAAAUUUAACAAGUAGAGAUGAUAAAAAUGAAAAUUUACAAACAAUAAACAUAAAACAACAACAGGAAAAAGCAACACAACAAAAACAACAUAGCCUUGAAUUGGAUCCAUUGAUCUUGUCAGCUCAUCUGUCAAGAACAGUAUACUGCAUGCAUAUUCCAUCACAGUCUUUAAGUUAAACCAUUUGAGUAGCAAAAACCUGAAAUUUAGGGGCAAUGUUUUGGAAGAAUGGAGGAAUUAUAGGUAUUAGUAAAAGAAGUAAAAAAGAAUAUAAGAUCCUGAGACUGACUUCAGGAGAAAGUUUGCACAUGCAGGUGAGGUGAAAGUUUAAAUAUGAUAAAAUAUAAUCUCAAAGUUUGCACAAACUUGCAAAAACUUACAGGACUGAGGUCAUAACUUAUUUCAUGCAGUGUCCUCUUUCGCUUUUGCUGGGUAACCUAAAAAAACCAACAUCACGACUUAUAUACAUGAUUAUUAAAUGAUUUUUAUUAGGCAAUAAUAUCUAUAUGCAUACCAGGAAUGCAAUAGCAUGUCGUAUGUGCUUGAUCUCAUCCCAAAAACAGCACAGCAACUACAAUAACAACAAAAAUCAGUCAGGUCAUAUUUGUAUUAAGAAAAAGAAAAUAGAAUCAUAAAUUCAUAAAUCAUAAUGUAAAAUUUUGUAUUAAGAAAAAAUCAAGGUAAAGGAAGAAUUAGAAUUUACCACACUGUCUACUAAAACACCCAAUAUCUCUGUGUUUUUCUUGUAAAAUUAUGUUUGUCUAUCACUGAUUGCAGUGAUUUCAUCAUGAUAAACACAUAAUUAAGAAAAAAAUUGGAUCAAAUUAUGUUUAAAAGUAUUGUGAAAGUGAAAGUGAAACUCACAUGUUGGACAAACGAAAGUGAAAUGAAGAGGGUAGAAAAAGAAAAUGACAUAUUUCUUUCCAAUGCAAUCAGAGAGCUUAACCUAUAAUUCAUAAAUUCUUACAAAGUUAUGAAAUAUAGGAUUUUAUAUAUAAUCAAUGAUAUGAGUCGAUUUAGUUACCUUGAUGAAUUCUUGAUCAAAAACAGCUCUGACUUCAAAAUCUAGUGCAACAUAUCCAACCAGUGGAAGGCCCUAUAAAUACUAAAAUACAUUAUAGAAUUUCAGAUCCAUAUCGAAUACAUCUACUUCCAUAAUCAACGAGCACAUGAUAAGAAAAUUUAGAUAUUGGUAUAAUGGUGUUGUAGAACAUAGUUUCAAUUAUGUGAAUGAACUAAUGUCUAAUGUUCGAUCCUCACCACACAGCUAAACAAAGUGAGAGAUUGUGAGCUACUUACAACUUUGACGACGAAGCCAUUCCGACGGGAGGUGGAGGGACGGAGGGAGAGGGGGGAGUGGAGGGAUUUAAAUUGGAAACUGAAGGAUGCAGAGCUGGAGAAUGAAAGGGUUUGAAGAGUUUUCUGAAGUCUCCAUAACAUUGAUUGAGCCUACUGAUUGAAGCGUCGAUUGAACAUAACGAUUAAAGACUACUGUCGUAUUUCUGGUUAAUCAGUAACGGGAGCGAUCGAAGCAUCGAUUGAACAAACGAUGACUGGUUUGAGAGGGGAGAGUGACGAGAAGAAGAGAGGCUAUGGUGUCGGCGUGUUCUUUUUUCUUUCAUCAAAAACCCUAAAACGACUAAGGUAAGGAAAUCAGAUAUAAGUUCUUUUGACCUAUUUUUUUAAAACAAAAUUAACAAAAUAUAAAAUUUUAAUAUAUAUAUUUUUUAUGAAANNNNNNNNNNNNNNNNNNNNNNNNNNNNNNNNNNNNNNNNNNNNNNNNNNNNNNNNNNNNNNNNNNNNNNNNNNNAGAAUUGGAACCGGAACCGCUUAAGGCGGUUCCGAUACUUUAGGAACCAGAACCGGAACCACUUAAGGCGGUUCCAAUUCCAGAACCGGCAGUUCCGAGGCAGUUCCGGUUCCGAAAGCAGGUACCCGCUUCCGCUGCUCAUCCCUACCGGUGACCCCCCCUGAUCCAUAUAUGGGACAUCUGUAAAUUGGGUUGAUGCUUUUGUCAUCACUACCGAAUCAGUCACCAUGAUAGGUGAGACUUGCUCGGGUAAGUCUCUUGAGUAUGCGCAACAUCUUGGCAUCACAAUUUCAAUUUAUUAUGGUUUCCAUACAAACAAUCAUUAUUUAUUUAACAUCAAAGGGCAAAAUAGUCAUUUACUCUCAUAUAAUCCAAAAUUGUUAUUUUUAUUCCACAUAAGCUUGGACAAUUUGUUAUUAUUAUUAUUAUUAUUAUUAUUUAUUAGUUCGGCGAUGCAAAAUGGUUAUAUGUAUAGUUAUAGUGUUAUUAUUUAGUUCGGUGACGUAAAUUGUUAUUUUUAUUCCACAUAAGAUUUGUUUAUUUUAUCUAUAUAAAAUGUUGUUUGUUUAGUUGAAUGACUUGUAGUACUAAGUAAGUCUCUUGACUCUCUCCAACAUCUUGGCAUUCAUAAUUUAGUUAAUAACCGUUUCCACAAUUGUAAUUAUUAACUUCACAUCACUUUAGGAAUUUUUGUGCUAUCAAGUUCUACAAGGUAAAGUUGUUGAAUGGGUAAUGAUGUAUAUUUAGAUAAAAUAUUGUAUACAUGAGAUUUUGUUUUUUGUUAGAUAAAAUGUUGUACACGUAAUAUUUGUUUCUUUUGUCUAUAAAAAAGGUUGUAUACAUGAGGUUUAUUUCUUGUAUGGACCGAAUAAACAAUUUGAAAAAGCCUAAAUCUAAAACUAAGGGGGUGUUUGGCUAAUCUUUUUCAGAGGGCAAAAGAACUUUUAGGAAAAGUCACAAAAAGCUAGGAAUUCCUGACUUUUCCAAAUUAUAUCAAAUUUCCAAAAGUUGCUUUUAAAAUACUUUUACCAAACAUCUUUUCCCCCUAUCUUUUUCUAAAAGUUCUUUUUGUCCCUCAAAAAGAUAGGCCAAACACCCCCUAAAUGAGCAUUUACUUUUACAUUCGGAAAAAAAUCAUAGUAUUCAUCACAUGAGAAGUUAGGAGGGGAAAAAGGAAAAUCUAGUAAAGGGUUAGUAUUUUAAUACAUUAAACAAAGUUUUUUUUUUCUUAACUCGUUUAAGUCAUUAUCUUCAGAUUAAGUAAAAAACUAAACACCCAUAUAUAGUUGUGUAAUGUCUAUAUUAAGUGUUUAACCCGUUAAACUCAUUAAUUAAAAAAACGUACUCUCAUUACGCCCAAAAGUACAAUCAUAUUUUGCUUAACCCAUUAAAUCACUAUCUUCAGAUUAAGUAAAAAAAAUAAACACCCAUGUAUAUUUGUCUAUAUUAAUUGUUUAACCCGUUAAACUCAUUAAUUAAAAAAAAAAACUUAAUCUCAUUAUGUCCAAAAAUACAAUCAUAUUUUUAUUCAACAUUAUAUGUUAAUAGAAAAUAUAAGGUUAAAAUGGUAAUUUACUCUUAUUCACCAUCGUUUGUACACAAUAGACAUAAGGAUAAACUAGUCGUUUAUUGUUUUUCUUCUUCGUUUGCCUCGUUUACCUUUCAGGGAGUCUGUUUAUAUAUUUUGAGAGGAGAGGUGUACAUGAAAGUUUGCAUGCGUUCAUAAAUGCUUGCAAAAAAGAAGGAUGAUACAACCAUUCAUCGACAAAGAGAAUGUAAGUAUGCAACUAUUUAUACACAAAGAAACACAAUAUGAUAACUUAAGACGAGGAUAUCACUUCAAUAACAAAGCCAAAAGACAUAAGUACCUUCUGUAAAUUGUAAAUAAUUUCCAAUUUUAUUUGAUAGUGUUAAUGUUUACAUAUAAGUGAAACAUGGAGGAAAAGUUGCAUCCAUGAUGGAGGAAAAAUUGUGCUUGCUAUCUAUUUACUUAGCAUGGAGAGAAAUACAAAAAAAAAAAAACAACAUACUUUCACCGCUUUAUCAAUUAAGGUUUUCAAAAACUUAGUGAUUAAACCCUUGCAUUUUAUUUGUCUUAUUUUUAAAGUAUUCGAAGUACUUGUGUUUUUAGUAAACUCAAAUGGUAACCGGGUAACCGGUAAGUGUUAUACAUUAUAUACAAUGUGUAUGUCAACCUUUAUAUUUUGUGAUGAAAAAAGGUUGUAGGAAAACAAUUCCUUAUUAUUCACACAAAAUUUUGUUUUCAAUCAAGUACCUCCUUAUGUAUUUGAAUAUUUGGUUAAGGUCUUAAAUUUUCUUAUUGCGUUGGUUCAACUAAAUACACACUCAUCAAAAUGAGUCAAAGAGUCUAUUAUGCUACAAGUUCAAUCUCUCAUUCCAUACUCAUCUUAUAGUAGUAGUUCCUUGUGUUCUUUUGUAUGGUCCAAUGACGUGUUGAAAUCAGAGCAUGUUCAUGCAAUCAUGGUUAGCACAAGAUGAUUAUGACAUCUCCAAAUGAAAUUAAAAUUAAAAUAGAAAAAUAAAUUAUCAUCUAAAGAAAAUUUUAAAGUUAUAGUCCCUAGGAUAUACUCCAUCUACAAGGUUUACGUAGUAAGAUAUGCCCUAUGGUGUUAUCCCACAUCGGCAGAGGAUAGAAAGUAAUAGAGAGACGAGGUGUAUAAAAUAGAAGCUAGGCUUAGGAGUUACUUACUUACCUGGAUGGGGUCAAUGGUUGGUCAAGGUGGACCAUGGCCUAGGUUAGUGACUUCCAUUGCACUUCGGAUGGGUGCUAACUUAAGGUCGGCCCAAGUGGUCGAGCCUACAUCAUAAUUUGUGCCAGUGGGGGCUUGCGUUCGCGCAGCCCCUCCCAAUAUUUGAGUUCAAGUUUUAAUCUUAUUGAUUAAUAUAAGACAAAACCGCACAAAUAGUCCUUAUGGUUAGCCUAAAAUUGCUAUUUGGUUCAAAAAAGUUUUGACUAGUCCAAAGUUUUCAUUUUAUUGUAAAUUUGGUCUAAUUUGUUCUGAAUUUUUUUAUAUUGACAAUUUUACCCUUACUUUUUUUCUUUUUUCAGUUUCUAUUUUAUUUAUUUAAAUAUUUUUAUGAUUAAAAGAAAAUAAAAAAUAAAAUAUUACUCCAAUCUCUCUCUCUCUCUCUCUCUCUCUCUCUCUCUCUCUCUCACAAUGCAAAAGACCAACACCACCACCGGCCAACAUCAGCGCUACCACCACCACCGUCGACACUGAAGCUUCCUUUGUAACCUUAAUUGCCAGAACCUUCGGUCAUCGGAAAAUUUACCUAGCUCCAAUGAACACCACACACAUACAUAACUCUCUCUCUCUCUCUCUCUCUCAAUGACGAACAAGCACACAAAAAUUAGAAAUCUAACAUAUAAGAACACAUUAAAAACCCAUAAAUGGUUAAGCACAAAUGAUAUCAAAUACAUCCAUACAUCUAUUCAAGAAGAUCUGAUAUACAAAACUAUAAAUUUGAUAAACAAGACCCAACACAUAAACCUGAUUCAAUGCACAACACUCGUCGGAGCAACAUCAUCUUUAAUCCAUCUGUUGUUCGAAGCAAAAAACCAAGGAUUUCCAGAUCUUCACGUCUGUGGAUCGAAGCAAAAAACGAGGGUGACAAUAGAUCUGGAAAUCUAGGGUUUCGAAAAACUAGAGGGUGACGAUGCUAGGGUUUUUGCAAAAAGAUGGCACCUCGCUGGAGAAGGAGAGAAAUGGACGGCUGAAACCCUGAACAUCGUCAGAUAUCUCGCUAUAUCUGUUCAAAUCCAAAAAAACGACGGUGACAAUAGAUCUUCAUGUUUGAGCUACCAUACAAUGCUUUUCAAACCCUAAACAACAAAACCUCAACCCCUAUGAUGUUUCUCAAACCAGUGUGUCGUCUGAACCCGAUCCUUCGCCGACGCCACCACCUCAACAAACCCUAGAUAUCUCGUCAGAUUUGUUCAUCUCUAUGCUCGUCAGAUCAUCAGCGUCGUCGAAGAAGUGGCAAUUUUCUGAAUGUAUAUGUCGUCGGAAAACAUAUAGAUCUUGUUGGUCUCGAUGAUGGUGCAUUUGUCGGCCAUCGUACAUGGCAGAUUUGAGGGAAAUGAGUAUUUUGAAGUAGAAAUGAAGAACAUGAGAGAGGGAGAGAAAGAGAGAGAGAGAGACAUGGUAGGGGUAUUUUAUUUUUGGUUUUUGCUUAAUUGUUUUUAAAUUGUUGUAAUAAAAGAAAAAUAAUAAGGGGCAAAAUCGUCAAUACAAAAAAGUGCAAAUCAAAUUGGACCAAACUUGCAACAAAAUGAAAAGUUUGGACCUCUAGCGCUAGUCCAAACUUUUUUGGACCAAAAUGGCAAUUUUGAGCUAACCACAUGGACCAUUUGUGCAGUUUUGUCUUAAUAUAACUACAUGCAACAAAAUAUUGUUUAAUCCGACUAUUUUUAUCUGUCUCUGGGUUAAAAUGUAAAUAUAACAUCAGCAUCUAUCUACUACUUAAUUAGUCAUGUAGAUGUAGAUCAGUAGAUUUUGACAUGUAGUUCAACUUUUGUAGUGAUUAAGGGAUGUCCUAUUCAAAAGUAUUUGAACAGUAUGUCUUUGUGAAUUAAGUGGACGAGUUGGACUCAGCAAAAAAUUGUUCCAAAUAAUCCAUCAAUAUAAACUUUCUUUUGGAUAUAGGAGGGUUGUGGCCUAAGAUGUACUUUUAAGUAAGUGUCUUAAUCGUAUAUCAAUCUAUAUGGAUAAAAAAAACAACAAAGACAUCAUGUAGUGAAGUGAGUUGUUAUUUGUACACUUGAUAUUUCGAACUUGGAAUGGAUAUUAAGAAAUUAACAAUCGUUUUUUUUUUUUUUUCUUUUGAGUUGUUUUGUUGGAUCAAUCACUAAAAAUCUUUGGUUUAUGACGUACUCUAUUAUUCGAGAUAGGUGGUCUCCACAUAAAGAAAAAGAUGAUGAAGGUAAUGUUUGGAACAAAAUUUUUGAUAUGUUCCAAAUGCAAAUUACAAGUUUUUAAAAGAAAGAUGAACAAGUCGUUGAGCCAGUGAGGCGGUUGUCAUGUGGAGAAUAUUGAAGUCGUAACCGAUCAAUUUUGUGAUACGUUUAUGUUGGUUGGAUAUUUAUAUAGCAUGUGUAAGCAAUGACACAGACUUUGGUGGUCGAUAUAACUAUUAAUGAUAACCACCCACGAAUUGAUCUUGAGAAGUAUCAAGAUCCAUGUAAUUUGUCCAAUAAUAAUUCAUCUACAAUGGGAAUAGAAAAAAACGGUAGUGAUACAUAAGUGCCACAUCUUGUCUUUUUUUUUUCCUUAACGAGAAUAAUCAAAGACGAAAUGGGUUGGUUUUGAGGCAGAUGAUACCCUCACGUAGCAUCUAGUGAUCAAUUUGGUCAUGAUAGUCUUUUGAUAAUGUGGGUAACGAUAGAUUUUAACAUUAACAAGAGAUACAUUGGUGAGAAAGGGAAUAUGGAACGUUUUUGAAGGGCGGAGGUAAGCUGAUGAAUGUCAUGAAGAUCGUGUGGAAACGUUCGAGGAGGAAGACAAUGUAGUAGCAUGGGGGUGUUGGGCGGAGGUAAAAAUGAUGGGGCAACAAAGACAAAAUAAAAGUUGUAAUUGAUUCAUUAUGUAGAAGGCAUGGGUGUUAUUCAUACGGGUUAAUUGGUUUUCGGGUAACUGAAACAAACUGUUUAAGGUUUAGAUUAUUCGAGUUCGGGUUGGGAUAAUUCGAGUAUCGGGUAUUCUGGGUAUCAUGUAUUUUGGUUCAAAAUAAACUCAAUUCCACUCAAAAUCAACUCAAUUACAUUCAAAAUCAAAGAUGUCAUAUAAUCUAAUAAAUUAUUAAGUCUAUUUCAAGCUUCAUACUUUAAAAUGGGAGGUAAGUUGUCCUAUGUCGUCCGGCAAAGAAAAUUGAAAGUCAUUUCGAUAAUUAUGUGUUGUUGAAAAAAAAUUUAAAAAGCAACGAUUAUUUUUCCCUUUUAAUGUUUUUUUAAAUAACAAGAAUAAAAAACAUAGAGACCUUAUUUUGUAUAAAACAUUUAACAAAUAUAACUUAUUUUGUAUAAAACAUUUAACAAAUAACUAUGAACUUCUUGUUUAAGAUGUUUCAAAAAACAAGUUAAUUAAAGUUAAUUAAGCCUCAUUGGACUUUUUAAGGUUUGUUAAACUAAUAUUUUUGAGUUUUAAAAUAUAAAUAAAAAAUGAAUUAAUAUUUAAUAUCUUAUUUUUGGUUAUUCAGUUAACCUGAAUUAGGAAAAAAAAUAAUUGAACCCAAACUGAAUAAGGUUUUCCUUAUUCGGUUAACCGAUCCGAAUAAUCUGAAAACCCCAAUAACUCAAACUUCAAUUAUUAUUUUCAGAUGGUUUAUUUGCUUUCGGUUUUUUUGACACCCUUAGCAUAAGGGUCGAAGCAAGUUCCCCACCAAAAAUAUGAGUUCCAUAGUGGCCAAAGUUGGUGGUGAUUUGCCCAAGGGUGAUAAACCGGUCGAGAUCAUGAUCACCUUCAACACACUUGAUGAGAAGGAUGUCAAAAGUGAUUGGAAACAUGACAUUGGCUAGGUGAAAGGGAUAAUCAAGCAUUGUUGGAACCAAGGUUUUGAAAACCGAACCAGAGACCGAACCAACCGUCUUACUGGUUCAAUGGUUCAACCGGUCCAAUUUUGGACUGGUCUCAAAAACCAGUAAAAUCGGAUUAUGUUAUAAUUACAUUAUUAUUAACUUUAAUUAUAUAAAAAAUACAAAAAAUGAUUUUUUUUUUUUUUAAGAUUCUCGGUUUUGACCAGUUUUACUGAUUCAUCCAGACCAUUUUUAGCGGUUCACAUGAAAAACAGUUUUUUUGCCUCUAAGAAUCUGAUAUGGGACCGGUUUCCAAUUAAACCGGUCGAUCCGUUCCGAUUUUCAAAACAUGGGCCGGAACAUUGUAGGAAGGACCCGCUUUUUACUAUAAUGUGAACACAUGGAUGUUAAUGGUUGGUAGUUGUAAGAAGGAAUUGAGACGAGGUUUAGCUUUCUCGAAGCUCGUAUGGUAGGCAAAAACCAACCUUAUAUGGAAUAAUUUGAACAUGGUUGCUUGAUGAUUUUCUAAGGAUAAUGGUCCACAAUGGAGUUCCAAAGCAUGAGGGAGAUAGUGUUUGUCUUGCAAAAGCCAAUCCAAGGGCAUGAUACUAUCAAACAUGACUAAGGUAAAUUUAGGGGAUUUGACGAUAGUGGUAGAAAGUUUAUUUUUAGAGUGGAUCUGGGUGAUUCAUGCUAGUGACAUAUUGUCUUUUGAGGCAAAUAACGAACCUGAUAAAUGGAGUUGGUGAUGUUAUCAAAUUUAGUGGUGGUAGAGGUUGGUUGGCGAUGAGAGCAUUCGGUUCUAGUUCUUGAAGACUUGAAGAAUUUGGGUGAGGCUAUCAAUGAUGUUGGCCAUGGGUUUAUUGAGGUCAAGAUUGUCACAUUUAGGCAGCAUGGAAAAAAUCAAUAAAAACACCAAUGUUAUACCAUAUUCGAUACGGGUGUUCUCCAUACAAGUAUGUUUGCAGUAAAAAUUAUGAUAUAUUCCAAGUGUACAUUACAAGCUUUUAAAGGAAAACUAAACAAACUAUGGAUCAUGAUUUUAAGCAAUUCUCAUACUAAAUACCAAGAUCAUGAACAUAAAAUAAGAAUCCAAGAGGUAUGAAGACUAAAUAGCAAUGCCCCUUUGAUUUAUGCAACUAUCGUUGGGCUAAUUCUGGUAGUAGACUGAAAUUAUAUGAUUCCUUUUGGGCCGACUCUCAACAACUUGGAUUGCUUAGUGUUCAUGUCCACACCAAUUUCUAGGCACCGUGAAAAAAAAAAUUAAGGUUGCAUAUCUUUUUUGUAAAAUAUUAUUAAGGAAAUUUGUUACUACUAAAGACAAAAAAAAAAAAGUUCACUACUUAUCACGAAUCAAAAUUCUAUGAAAAAAGUGAUAAUACUUUCUUUAUGUUCCUUUUCAAAGAUUAAACAUUAUCAAAUUUUAUAAUAUUAUUUUCAAAUACAUUUUGCUCAAGAACCAUUAUGAUGACAUUUUGACACUUUUUUCUACAAUAUAUCAAAUUGAGUUAAUAAUUCCAUUUUUGUUGUAUCCCUCAAAAUUAAAAUCGUGACACUUUUCAUAUAUUUAGUUUGACCUUAUAGCUAAAUACACUUUCAAAAUUUGAGUUAGGCUUUAGAGCUUUAGAUUCGUAUCGUAAAUGUUUAUAUACGGUAUCAGAUUCUAAUUGAUACCGAUAACAUAAUUUAACAAACAUAAUUUAAUAAUACAAAUGAGAUUUGUAACAUGCAAUUAUACUUUAAUUGACAUAUUAUUAUCAGAUUCUUCUAUUUGUUUGUAAUAUAAUAUAAAGAAAUUUCUUAGCCGAAGGCCCCGUCCGACCGCACAUCCGCACGGCCCAGGGUCGCCACUGACUCGAACCUAAUGAAAAAACAAGAUCAAUCUUUAUGAGUUAUUUGAGAAUGAUUAUGGUCUAGUACAUGCCUGCUAGAAGUGGAAAACUCUAGCAUGGUCCUCACAUAUAGUGAGUUUGAUAAGAUAGAAUGACAUUGCUUCUUCCACGAGAACCAAGGAAUAUCCUUUAGAUAUGAUCAAAUAUGGUUCUUAUUUUAUCCUUAAAUAAAGAUUUCUUAAUGGCAGAGAUGAAUUAAAGUUUGAAGAGGGGUAGGAGAAAGAUAUAUUGAUCGACAACAAAUAGAGGAGGAUUUGUUUAAUCACAUAACUUAGGGUCCUAUAUUUUGGUAUUGAAAAUUAAGAGCAGUGGGCAUGGGUCGCCUCCACAACGUUAUUGUCUACGUGGAGGGCCCAUAACACCGUUAUAACACAAGGCACACUGCCCCCCUUUUCGUUAUGUGACAUCUUGUUGGCGUUACAACAUAGCAAAACGGGAACUAAGAACCGAUCAAAAUUAUUUUUCUUCCUUUUUCUCUCUUUCUCUCUUCCUCUCUAUAUAUUUUUCUACCUCUUAACAAGUUAUAACAUUGGAAUACCAUUUCAUACAUGGUGUUAUGGUGGUAUUAAGGUUGAUGUGGCAUGUAAGAUGACGUUAUAACACUGGCCCAUACCCAAUGCUCUAAGUAAUUUCUAGUGGGUUGUUAUCAUUUUCUUAAGUUUAUUAAGGUUGUUGGUUGAAACCUUAAUGUAUUUUGGUAGGAAUUUUAUAUGUAACUUUUUUGGUCUUAGAAAAUUGUUUUUGUAAGUGGAUCACAAACAUUUUUAUUAAUUCUUGUUCAUUGUGCACAAUUUCGUGGGGGAAUGUAGUGUGAUGACGAUCGAUUUGUUAGAAAAAAAUAGAAUAUUAUGCAUCUUUUGUUGUGGAUUUAUUGGAAAAAACCGUUGUGUUCCUCUGAUUUCUUAUAAAAUAUAUCUGGUUUAUCAGAAUAGAAGUCAAGGACAACAGUUCUUUCACCGUCGUUCUUGAUUCAUCAAACUCCAACAAUUCUUGAAGAUGAAUUAAUCCUCACAUAUUUGAAGCUGUAACACGUUGACGUCUAAAUAAAACGAAAAUAGUGAAAUACAACAUUGUCAUUGUAGUAUGCAAGCUAUAUAUCUGACGUCAUGAACAAAAAAACAAUCUUAUUUUACGCCUUCUACUUAACAACUUCGACUUCAAAUAUGCAUGAAGUACUAUCGUUCCAUAUAAGCAUUUACGUUUCACUCAUCAUGACAUAAGUAACACCACAUCAUGGGUCUAUGGCUUCAUGCCAUCAAAAGAGCAUAUAUAGAUCAUUAGCAGCUGCAUUUAAUAUGCAACAUCAUUGUUGACCAUAAAUCAGUUAUUGUCUUAAUUUCCUCGAAGUUUUGACUCAACUACACAUCAUCUCAUACAAUCAAGAUGCACUAUUUUAGAAUUUUCUAUAAUUUGUAGUAGUUCAAUGUUUUUUUCUUCAUAUAAUUGAAUGAUUACUUCGAAACAAAAUGCUUCUAUGAAUACACAAAAUAAUACAUAACUUUAUUCAAUUAAGAAAGUUUACAUAUAGUAGUCAUUAGUUUACAUGUAAAUGUGUCUCUUUCUCCGAACGUGUCUGUUAAAAAAAAACUCUUAUCUUUAUUGAAGUGAAAGGUAUGGAAUGAAAUGGGAUUCAUAUGGAAAUAUGCCUUUUUCCUGAGUUUAGUCCCACAUCGGCAACAGAAGAAAAAGAAAUAGAGGGCGAGCUGUAUAAAAAGGGAACGAGGCUAUUGUGUUACAUACUUACCUGGAUGGGGUCAAUGAGUGGUCAAGAUGGCUCAUGGCCUAGAGUAGUGACCUUCAUUGCACUUUGAAGGGGUGCUGUUUUAAGGUCGGCCCAAGUGGUCGAACCUACAUCAUAAUUUGUGACAGUGGGGGCCUGCGUUCGCGCGGCCCCUGCCCAACAUCAGUUAGAAAAUUUUUGAAACUUUUUAUCUGCUUGUUACCAUAACAUGUG
rnacentral:lncRNA from 1 species